UGGUGCUUACCGGCUGUAGUGGUUAAGAAAAUUGUUCUUGUGUUGUGCCUGCAAGGCGCGAGUUCCAGUCCUUGUAGCCACACUUUUUUGCGUGAUUUUUUCGUGAGGCAUUUUUCCUUCUACUGCACGUGGUGGGCUGGCCCAUGAGGUGCGGUGCGUGGGCGCCAGCUACCUGUUCGGGCGCUUAAGGCGCCAAACAGGAGCUCUCCAAAUUCUAAAAAUAAUAGAGCACUCCACAAAUAGACGGAGAGAGAUUGAAUGUGUUUUCCUUAUGGGCCAAACGGGUGUAUUGAGCCCAUUUAGACAGCCAUAGGACUCUACACAAACCCUAAAAUUACGCGUGCUCUGAUCCUUUCUCAAAAAAAAAACGCGUGCUCUGAUCAUUCCCCCUCCCCAACGGAAAAAAAUUCUAUAAGACCAGGUCUCACGGAUUAGCAGGUGAGACCCAUCCUGAUGGAUGACACGUGUCAUUCACAAAUCACAAAGCAUCCACCCCACCCCCCACCUGAAAUCAGGGGGGGAGAGAUUAGAUGCUUUGUGAUUUGUGAAUGCCACAUGUCAUUCAUCAGGGCGGGUCUCACCUGAUUUAUAUGAGACCUGGUCAGACAGCCUUCAGAGUGAUUAGGAUGGCGCCGAGAGGAGACCAUUUUGAUACCCAUGUCUUCUCUUCCUGGACUUGUCAGUGCGAAGCGUCCUGUUGGCUCCCGUUUGUUUACUCUGCCAGGGAUGGUUAACCACUGCCGUGCACAAUAUGCUCACGGCCGCUUCUACUUCGUAUCUAAUAUCAAUAGAUGGGAAACGCUGGUUCUUGACCCCAUGACAAUGGAGUUUUCUACUAUUGAUGGCCCUCCCAUGGACAGAGUUUGUGAUGAAGACAUAUGUAUCGUGGAGGCAGAUGAAGGCAGUCUCGGGAUGUUUCUAACGUACCAAGACUAUGACAGAAGCAUGAUCAUUUAUUGGCAAAGUGAAGGUGAUAUUUCCGGACCAUGGCGCGAAGAGAAAAGAAUUGUUGUAGGUGACAUGUGUAGAGUUUUUUCUUCCGAAGGGAGACAUGUAUUUGGACAUGAUACUAUUGCAUGUUUCUCAUUGGAUGCCAAAGCAUUGGAGCUCGAGAGGGUAUGUUACAUGAUUCUGGAUGAGGCGUACCCAUAUAGCAAUCUUCCACUACCGUACGCAUUACCCACCGUAGCAUCAGGUCAGCUUCAUAGUAAUUCAUACUAGUAAGCUUCAUAAUGUAUCCUAGUUACCUCCUUUCCGUUCUUGUCUAAAGACUUCCUGUUUGUUCUUUGUUCCAGGCCCCAAAGAGACGCAGCAGACCAGAACGAUUGCUGAGGAGAUGGAGGACGCUCAGGAGAUGGAGGAUGACGAGUACCUGUUCUAGGACCUUGAAGUGGAUUUUCAGUUACUAGAAGAGGAGAAUGACAACGAUGACGACUUCUUGUCAGAGCCUACAGUGACUUUUGAGUUAACAGCCGAGGAGACGCAUAAGCAGGUGGCUGCAGCCAUUGGACACUCGAAUGUCUGGAACUCGCACCCCAAGAACUACGGCCCCGGAUCCAGGGUUUGGUAAUAAUCCCCUCUCUCUAGCACCUACAUACCGUGCCCUGUCUUAGAUUGGUAGCAAGAGGCGGUUUCUCUAUGUACGUGUAGAUCCGCGGCGCAAGCUGGUCGCUUAGCUUGUGUUUGAGAUUCAAGAUUUACGUGCCUUGUAUUAUUUGCUGAGUUUGUGACGGGUUGCGGCUUGGGUUUUUGUUGUUGCAGCCGUGUCUGUGGCAACUCACAUGGCCUGAUCCGCAAGUACGGGCUAAUGUGCUGCAGGCAGUGUUUCCGCAGCAACGCCAAGGACAUUGGCUUCAUCAAGGUAUGCGGUAGCCACACCGUUGGUCGAUUUCCUGAAUCCCAUGCCUGAAUUUUAUAUCAUCCGAGUGAUAGUUUAUGUCACUCCAUGCUUUCUUUGCAAUGUUACAUGAUUUGUCAACAAGGCUUCUCUGUAUGGUGAACUAGUUUAAUUUGUUGUAGACCACCAGCAGGUAAGGUAGCAUGGACUAUUACGUAAUGUUUGAUAUGGCAUGUUAGAUUCACUUGUUGGAUAGAUGCGUGUGCUGCUCCCCUCCUGCUCCAAUAAUCUUCCUGGUCAACUUUCGCAAUCAUCACCUCAUGUUCUGCCUUAUAAUAUUGUCAUCUCUUUGAUCUAAACUCAUGAAUCAUUAAACACCAUAAGUCAUCUUAGGACCGUUGCUGCAACUAUCUUCAUGACUUUGGUACAAAGCUCUAUUUUGUUGUUCCCACAUACAUGGAAUGCAUUGCAAUAGUAUGUAUAUCCAUUAAGUAGGUAUAUAUACAUAUCCUGAGUAACUGUAAUGUACUGGAGUAUGUAGAUGAUUGAACAUUGGAAGGAUAUUUCUGAUUAAUUGUAGGUUUUAUGCUUGAAUUCAUAGGUUUGGGUAAAUUAUGUUUCUGUUCUGAUGCAUUUGUUUUUACUGUACAUCUCUUUUAUUUCCGAAUACCUGAAUGUUCGUGUUGUGCACAGAUUAAUUUUAGAUUACUGAAUGUACACUCUUGUUUCGCAGUACCGUUAAGAUUGGAAACCUCAAAAGGAAGCAUGGAGUAGGAUGUCAUCGUCAAAGUGUGUUGAUUCAUAAGGACUAUCUGUAUUAUAUAUUAUGUAAUGAACUAAAUGUUUGAAUCAGAGUAACAAACCUUUGAAACUGUGCUGCCGACUUCUGCUUGAGCAUGUGAAUCAGAUAAUUCUGUUGCUAUUGUGUCCCGUUAUGUUUUUUUGUUUUGUUUGUGAAAUCUGAUUACACUUUGAUUUGAUGCUACAUUUGCACUCAACAGGUUCAUAUCCAUGCUUUUGUCUAUUGUUCCUGAAACAGUAUCACCUCAACUUUGCUUGUUGUCCUAAUUUUGUAUGAUCUUCUACUGAAUUAUGUUAAUGGCCUGCCAUGAUUGUUUAUGAUUUAACAGACUCGUGUCCUGUUAAGUCUUUAGAUUGAACAUGAGCUGUAGUGUUUUUUAUCAAGCUAGGUAAUAUGUUUGUGACCUAAGCCGAGCUUUACAUUAUAUUUUUGUGCCAGAUGUUCUCUCUAAUGUAUUUUUUGUCCGCAUGGAAGGAAGAGAUCACGUGUUCAUUCGAGCGAUCGAACACGCGAUCUCUUCCUUCCGAGUGAAGUACACUAACAAUGAUUGUUUUAAAAAAUUGAUGAACUUUUUUCAAAUUUGAUUAACUUUUUUUCAAAAUCAAUGAACUUUUUAAAUAUUUUGGUGAUUUUUUUAAAAGUCGAUGAUUUUUUUCUUUCACAACUGAUGAUUUUUUUUCAAAUUCGAUGAACUUUUUUUAGAAUCGAUGAACUUUCUUCAAAUUUGUUUUUUUUUCAAAAUCAAUGAAGUUUUUUCCCCAAAUUCAUGAACUUCUUUUUUGAAGUUUUUGACCUUUCUUUCAAAAUCCCUAAACAGUUUUGAAUUCACAAACUUCUUUGUUUUUGCAAAUUAUUUUGUUCUUUUUCCUGAAACUCGCAAACUUCUUCUCAAAUUUGAAAAAAGUAGUAGAUCUAUGAUUAAUUUUUUCUUCCAAAAGUCAAAGGGCAAACUGGUGUACCAUUGAGAUGCAUGCGAGUCCCGACUCAAAAAGAAAGAUAUGUGCGAGCGAGCGGAUGGACGAGCGACCGAGCGAGCGCUGAUUUCUCGUUUUUCUGGCCCGGCCUGCUAUAUCUCUCCUUUCGAGUGUGGGGAUGGCUAACUGGUGCUGAGAGCGCCAAUUGGGAGCACCAUCAUGAUCCUCUUCUUGUUCAGGAUCUUCUCGAAGGAAUGGGACAUGAAAGUGGGCUUGGACCAGUUACGUGAAUAGGCAACAUCGAACAUAUAAACCCUGCUACCCUACCCGCCGUUCUGGAGGCUUUGCAUCGUGAGGUGAUUUUGCUUCGUCCGAUCUGCCUCGCUGGCGUGCUUCUACCCCGCUGUUGAAAAUCCAGCCACCCAUUCAUCUACACGUCAUACUUUCAUGUGCCGCUGGAUGACGGGCGGUCCUCCUUUUCUUGUGGGUCCAGUUUUACAGCGUGUCUCGCGCUUAUCCUGUGUGCGAAAAGAUGAGCUCCGCAGCGAGCGUGGGGUUCUCACGGUGAAACCCUAGACCAACCGCCCGCCCCUUCGAGCCACCAAUCGCUCGCCCCUCGAGCCCUGCAUCCCCUCUUCCCAUUCUCUCCAUCACCCCUACGCUGCCUCCUCCUCUCCUCAUCUCCUCCUCUGCAACAGCGUGUGGUCGCCGUCGUCGCUCAUCUCUUUCGUCGCGCCCUUUAUCCUCCAUGGCUCCUCUCCUGCGUCCAUCCUGGCGGUGGCGACCUACAGGCGAAGGGCGGCGGCGGCGUUAGAUUCGAGCUGGAGUCAUCUCCCGCGUCCGGAGCUUGUGGUCGGCCAAAGUCCUCUCCCGUGUCCGUCCCGGCGGGGCCCGCGACCUGCACCUAAAGGGUGACGACAGCUAGAAGAGAGAGAAGAGGAAGGGGACGAGGGAGAAAGAGAUAGGAAAGAGGAGACUAAAGCUUUUCCCCCCAAUCCCCUCACAGUCGCCGCCCCGAGCUCCUCUUUCCCUCCACUUCCCCGACGCCACCACUUGUGCUCGGCAGAAGGAGUGGCUGCAGUGAUGGCAGAUGCACGAGGAGGUGGAGGAGGAGGAAGAGGAGGCCGUGGUCAUGGCGGCGCGACGGAUAUCGUGUCCGGGCGGCGCGGUUGGUUGAGUCGGAGGUGCUAGCGCGCGGGGUCGUAGUCGAGCUGGGCGUGAGGAGAGGGAGGAGAGGGAUGGGAAGAAUGGGAGGCGCAAGGACGGCGGCGGUCGCCAUCUCAUUCCCCAUCUCUUCUCGUUGCAUGUCCCCCGUGAGUUCCUCUUUCUAAUCCCCUUCCUCUCCACAAGUUAUCUUUUUUUUUUAUGAAAUCUGUAUGUUCGCUCAUUGGGCGGCCAGGGAUGCUAGAGAUGGAGGCCUCGGCAGGAGGAGCUCGAGCCGAGGAGCGCGCCCUCGAUCCGGACUCAGCAGGAGAAGGGGAGCAGCAGCCGCGUCGGCCUCAUCGCAAUGCGUGCAGCAAGCUGAAGACGCGGCAAGAGCGGUGGUCAAGACCGCGGUCACGGCUUCGGGGUACCACAGUCGCGGCUUCAGGGCUGCGCACACGUCAAGCAAUGGCGAGGGCAUCUCAUGUCGCACACCGAGGUGAGCUUCACCAAAUCUCUCUCUCUCUCAAUCAAUGAUCGCUUCAUUCCGUCUCCUCCCCUUUUUUCCUCUUCUCAGACAACAACAGAUGACAAGUUGCAAUGCCCCAUCUUCAGCUUGCAGGUUGCUGAUUUUGGUCUUCUCCUCUUGCUGGUUUGCUUUGAUUAGUAGAACAAGUUGCACAACAUGUGUUUGUGAAAGUGCUUCUCACAGAUGAAACCUUUUUUAUGCCUAGACCUGCCUUCUUUCUUAGGAGCAUAUGCUUGCUAAGACAUUGUGGUCUAAAUUUCAUAAAUAAGGCCGUGCAUUUUUUUGCUUGGGUCCAUUUCAAUAUCUGGAACAUGUGUUCCUUGUGUAUGCACACAAUUAGUCUUGAAUCUCUACCAACAGAACAUAUGUUCUUUUGCUAGAAUGUGUUCUUUUAUUAUAAAUCAAGGUCAACUUUUAUAACCCUACACUGAUUUUGUUUUAACUUGCAAUCCGCAGCCUCGCAAAUAAUAUGUAGGUGUUAGUGUGCUCUUAUCUGGUUUGUAGAAAUGUUUUAAUUGUUGCAUUUGAAUUCAUGUUUUCUGUUAUGGAUUAUUUACAUGUUCAAUAAGCUUAGUAAUUUCUAAUAAAUAUAUAUAUGGAAACACCACAAUUUCAGUUUUCUUUAUUCGACGGUAUGAACAACAGUUUUCAGUUUCAUGCAUGUCACAACACAGGUCAAUGGACAUUCAGGAAAUAUGUGAUCAGCUUUCAACAGGUCCUGCAUCGUCUACUAAUAAUCUAUCUCGACAACCUUCUCAGGUUAAUUCUCAAUCUAUAACCACCAAAACAUGCAGUUCUUUACCUUCGCUGAAUAGACAAAGGCAAUGGCCACCCUUUUGAGUAUUGUUGUUCUUAAAGAAUUAAUCCAGCAGCAAAAGAAACAAUUGAAAUGACAUGCACUAAAAUGACCGUUACAUAAAUCAAGGAUUAUGACAUGCAUUUCAGCAAGCAAUUAUUGAACAUAUAAGAAACUAUUUUGUUAUGUUGGGAGGUGAUCACAUAAAAGGCAUGUCAUUACCUAUACCAUAGAAAUUUGGGAAUGCAUGAUACAUGUUGAUAUCCCUAGACCUGCCACUGUUGUAUUCUUCUCCUUCCAUGUCACCUUCGCUUGCUUGUAGCAAUUCUGUGCAACUCUUACAUGUAUAACCCUCUAUCUUUUUCUUUAUUCUCUAAUCAUCAUGCAUGUCCUCAAGUAAUUGCUUGAUCCACUGGUUGUUUAUAUUGUGGAAAGAAAAAUCCAUCUGAUUAUAUUUAAUAUUCUAAUGUCCUUCAUUACCCAGGUGUUAUCUAACAAGGUAAAAUAUUCUCCGAAUGAGAAUGGCCAACAGAAUGAUAGUCUUAGCACUAAAGCACCGCAUCGGGAUAAGGCUGGGGUUGAGGAAUAAGUUUUCUCUUGUCAACCUGUCACACGGUUAUCUCUAUUCCCUGCAUCUAGGACUGCUACUAGAACAUGUCGUUCCAAGUUACAACAAUGAUCUUUCUACUCAUGAGUAGUCCUUCUUUAUGCUGAUGAAUUUUGAUGCAUACUGUGUGCAGACAAUAAGGCCUCCUCGGGCAUUAAGAAAGUACAAUCAGGUAGCAGUGGAAGUGAUCCGUUAAAAAACAAGUAAUAUCUCUGAAUUAUUGCACUAGAAUGCAUGCAUAGUAAAUACCAUGACCUUACAAAUUUACAUUUGGUCCCUUCUCCUUUUCUUAGGAACUUGGAAGAAGCUAUACAUAUGCAAAUAGAGGUUCAGACACAGCUCCAUGAACAGCUAUAGGUGCCUUCUCUGUUCCUGUUUUCAAGCUCUAAUUGGAUGGUGUUGUUGUCGGCGUAUAUUUUCUAUAGUAGGAGCAUUCUUUUUCUAGCUUCACAAUAAUUACUGCCCUUUUGUGUGGAUAUGAACCCAAAUCCAUAUUUAAAUGGGUGCUAAAUGUUUUUGCGGCAUUGUGGACUUUCUAAUCUGGUCAUAUGUAGUUAGUGUACAGUCUGGUCCUUUUUCUAUAGUGUGAGAUGUACAUAUAAUGUUCUAUUGUAUGUGAGGCCCAUGAGGCCCAGGCCCAUGUCAGCCAAGUGACCAUUGACCUAGAAGGAGAGUGCUCCUGUUCAGUCCAGCAGAGCCGCCACACACCAGCUCGGUUGUUCGAAGGUACUUCCAUCUCCCAAUCCUACAUGGUAUCAGAGGCCGGUGAUGGCGGGGCCUGGCGGGAAGGCCGGCGGACCUAGGCGGCGGUGGAGCUCACCUGGGCGGCGAAGCUCUUCCCUUUUGCUGCUGUGCGGAGUCUGGCGGGAGCUGCGGGGCGGCUGCGCGUGAGCUGUGCGUGCGCAACGCAGAAAGGAGGCGGCCGCGAGCGACUGUGGAGGAGGAAGGAGGAGGCGGCAGCGGGAGCUGCGUGGCCAGCGGAGGCGAAGCUAGGAGGAGUGCGGCGGCACUGCUCGCUCUCGAGGAAAGACGGCUGUGCGUGGCUGCGUGCGCACGUGCGAGGAGGCGGUGCUGCUGGCUACUGAGCUCUUGAGGCUUGGCAGAGGAAGAUGAAGUGGGUGCUAUGGUACUGCUGGGUGAGUUGGUGCUGCUUGGCAAAGGAAGCAGAGGUGUUGCUGGGUGCAGUGGUGCUAGACCUGCUACUGCUGGAUGCUGUACUAUUGAUUCUGCUGAGAGUUGCUGCUGAGAUGAGCUGUUUCGGGUGUGUUUAGAGAAGGUGUAGCUACUGCUGCUUAGUUUGCUGCUGAGUGUACUGUUGAGUUGCUGGAGUGAGUGAUCCUGCUGUGUUCUGCGGCUGCUAUUGAAAGAGAGAGCUGUGUGUUGCUAUUGUGUGCUUGGUGCUGUGCCGCUGGUGGUGCAGAGCUGUGGUUGUGUUGCUACUGAUUGGAAAAGGAAGGAGCUGUUGUGGGCUGCUGCUGCUGUGCGCUGAGGAGAGGGAGGAAGAUGACAGGUGGUGAGGUCAGGGUCAUGGAGUCAGUGCGGUCGGAUGAUGGAAGUUCGUGUGGUGCAGAGGAUGGAGGAGGAAGGCACGUAGGAGAUGAAGUGCUGAGAGGAGGCGGAGAUGUAGCUGGGUGUGCCUCAGCAAGCAGAGACUUGGAGGAUGCCCUGCUCACCGCCAUGCAGGAGGAAGCUGUGUUGCGUGCACGUCUGGCCUCCGCCGAAGCGGCAUUUGAUGCUGCACGGGCAAGGGUGGCUCGCAUGAGGAACACGGAGGUCAUCGAGGAGAGGACACGUUCGGCCUUUUUUAUCUGUACCAAUGGAGAUGGCACUGAAAAUGCCGCAAUUGCUGCUCAUAGGACUGAUCCGGAGUGGAUUCUAGACACUGGUGCUUCGCAAUAUGUUGCAGGUGACUUCAGUGAGUUUGAGUCAUAUGAUGAGCUCACUCCCUCUCAAAGUAACAUGAUACAUACUGCUGACGGGACAUCGCAGCCUAUUAAGGGCAUGGGGACAAUUCAAUGUACACUUGAUAUUAAGUUAUCUUCAGUCCUACAUGUGCCAUCUUUUCCGAUCAAUAUGUUGUCUUUUAGUGCUCUAAUUGACCAGGUAGACUGUAGGAUAACAGUUGACAGAAAAAUGUGCUUGAUUGUGGACGGGCUGACUGGAAGGAGGAUUAGGACUGGAAUAAGGCGUAGGGGGCUGUGGUACAUGGACCGUGAGGGGCUUGGUCAGACGGGCAGCCCAGUAUUUGCGGCAAUUGUGGAAGAAAGAGAGUAUGUGGCGAUGAAACAUCACUGCAGAAUGGGGCAUGUAUCCUUUGAUAAAAUGUUCAAGUUGUUUCCAGAUGUAAUGCAUGGAGUCGAUAAGAACAAGCUGAAAUGUGAUGCAUGUGAGUUUGCAAAACACACGAGGACGUCUUAUGUAAGGGACAUAGAAGUAUAUCUCCAUUCAUGCUUCUUCACUCGGAUGUGUGGACAAGUUCGAUGGUGUCGGUUAGUGGUGCAAAGUAUUUUGUGACCUUUAUUGACUGCCACUCACGUAUGACAUGGAUAUAUUUGAUGCGUCACAAGGAUGAAACUUUCCAAUGCUUCAAGACUUUCUAUGCCUAUGUGAAAAAUCACUUCAAUCUUUAGGUACAAGUGAUAAGAAGUGAUAAUGGCGCUGAGUAUGUGAACAAAGUGUUUGGGACUUUCUUAUCAGAGCACGGGAUUUUGCAUCAAACCUCAUGUCCGUAUACUCCCCCUCUGAAUGGGGGUGGCAGAAAGGAAGAAUCGCCAUAUUCUGGAGGUUGCUCGAUCACCGAUGUUUACUAUGAAUGUGCCGAAAUUCUUGUGGGGUGAAGUUGUGAUGGCUGCAGCACACCUAAUCAAUCGCACAUCAUCGAGAGUACUAGGUAUGAAGUCACCUUCUGAGUUACUUCUGGGAAAGAAUGAUUUUGUGGUUCCUCCCAAGUUGUUCGGUUGUGUCUGCUUUGUCAGGGAUCACAGGCCAUCUGUGGGCAAAUUGGAUCCACUGGCCGUCAAGUGUAUCUUCACUGGGUACUCUUCUGGGCAGCGUGGCUAGAAGUGUUGGAGUCCUUCUGAACGGAGGACCUUUGUGAGCAUGGAUGUCACCUUCAGGGAAUCCGACCCAUUUUAUGGUGAGAAAACCGAUCUUGGUGGAUCAUUUGAAAGUCUUGACCUUACCCAGUCUACUAUGAUAGGUCAAGAGGGGGAGAGUGGUGGUGAUGGUGCCAAUUCUGGUGUCGAUUUAGUGCUGCAGCAAUCAAUCGAGGGUGAUAUUUUGGUAGUACAGCGAAGAAAGCAGCAGCCCCAGGAAAUGAUAACACCAUAGAGUGAAGGUCCGAUUGUGACUGAGGGGGUGCCGAGUCAGGCAGGCGGUGCUCCCACCCAGAUCGGUUGUGUACCGAGGUGGAUGGCAGAGCAAGAGGAGCAGCUAAACGUGUAUUCACGGAAGCAAGGUGAUGCUUCUCAUAGGUGGCAGAAGGUGAAUGAGGAGCGUAAUCCUCAAGUAUAUUCAAGACGACAGCAUCAUGUUUAGGGGGAGCAGCAAGGCAGGAAUGCAAGCUCAUCUGACACAGAGGACUUGCCAAUUGCGUUGAGAAAAGGUACUCGAGCAAAAGCAGGGAUACCAGAGCCAAAGCAUGGGUUCGAUGCCAAUGAUAUUGGGAAUUAUGUUUUGUAUGAAGCAUUAUCUCUAGCCCACAAAGCAUUUGUUGCUUCUCUUCAGCUGGUGUCUCUUCCAACUUACUGGAAGGCAGCAAAAGUGGAUUCGUAGUGGCAAGCAGCUAUGAUAGAGGAGCUGGAGGCAAGUAAGAACAAGACAUGGGUAUUAACACCUCUUCCAAGAGGAAAGAAGGCAGUCGGUUGCAAGUGGGUAUACAUUGUGAAGUAGAAUGCAGAAGGGAAGAUUGAAAGAUACAAAGCAAGGCUUGUGGCAAGGGGGUAUAGCCAGACCUACGGCAUUGACUAUGAUGAGACCUUUGCUCCAGUAGCAAAGAUCUAUGUGGAUCCUGAUCUCCUGUGCAGCGAAUUUUGGGUGGUCCUUACAUCAACUUGAUGUGAAGAAUGCUUUCUUGCAUGGGGACUUGAAGGAGGAGGUCUACAUGGAGAUCCCACCGGGGUUCUCUACGUCUGAGACGGUUGGCAAGGUAUGCAGGUUAAAGAAAUCUCUUUAUGGCCUGAAACAGUCUCUGAGAGCAUGGUUCGACAAGUUCAGACGUGAUGUAUGUAGUAUGGGGUAUGGGCAGUGUAACGGUGAUCAUACACUGUUCUACAGACAUAAAGAAGGAAAAAUCACUAUACUUGUAGUAUAUGUGGGUGAUAUUAUUAUCACAGGGGAUGAUAAAGAAGAAAUAACAAGACUGAAAGUCGCCAGGUCUGCCAAUAGGAGAAAUGACAACGUAUGGGUAAGGCCUUUGAAGUCAAAAUAUCUGGGCCAACUCAAAUACUUUCUGGGCAUAGAAGUGGCCAGGUCUGCCAAUAGGAUUGCGCUAUCUCAAAGGAAGUAUACUUUAGAUCCCCUAAGCGAUGUAGGAAUGCUAGGAUGUCGGGCAGCCCGAACCCCAAUUGAUCAAAACCACAAAGUGACUGCUCAAUCAGGAGAGCCAAUGGAUAAGGAGAGGUAUUAGCGAUUGGUGGGAAGAUUGUUGUACUUGUGUCAUACACAACCGGACAUUGCAUUUGCAGUAAGUGUUGUGAGCGGAUACAUGCAUGAGCCUAGAAGUGGACAUCUUGACGCAGUACAUAGAAUCUUGAGAUACUUGAAAGGUUCUCCUGGGAAAGGACUGUUGUUCAAGAGUUAUGGACACCUUGUUGUAGAUGGUUAUUGUAAUGUUGAUUGGGCUAGCUGUCUGGAUGACAGGAGAUCAACUUCAGGCUAUUGUGUCUUUGUAGAAGGAAAUCUAGUAUCUUGGAGAAGCAAGAAACAACCUAUUGUUUCCAAAUCAACUGCAGAGGUUGAAUACAGAGCCAUGUCCAAGGGACCGAGUGAGAUGUUGUGGACCAGAAAUCUAUUAGCAGAAUUGAAGAUAUUGAAGACAAGUUGUAUGAAUGUGUGGUGUGAUAACAAAUCAGCAAUCAACAUAGCACAUAAUCCAGUGCAGCAUGAUAGAACCAAGCAUGUGGAAAUAGACAUAUUCUUCAUCAAAGAAAAGCUUGACGCUAGGAUCAUCAAGAUUGAGCAUGUGAGUUCUGGGCAACAGAUUGCAGACUGUUUGACUAAAGGAUUGGGAACUAAAGAAUGCAAUCUAGCACGUGACAAGAUAGGGAUGAUAGAUAUCUAUCACCCCUCUUGAGGGGGAGUGUUGUAUGUGAGGCCCAUGAGGCCCAGGCCCAUGUCAGCCAAGUGUCCACUGAUACGUCUCCGUCGUAUCUAUAAUUUUUUAUUGUUCCAUGCCAAUAUUCUACAACUUUCAUAUAUUUUUGGCCACUUUUUAUACUAUUUUUGGGACUAACAUAUUGAUCCAGUGCCCAUUGCCAGUUCCUGUUUGUUGCAUAUUUUUUGUUUCGCAGAAAAUCCAUAUCAAACGGAGUCCAAACAGGAUAAAACGGACGGAUAUUUUUUUGGAAUAUAUGUGAUUUUUGGGAAGUAAAAUCAACGUGAGACGAUGCUCGAGGGGCCCACGAGGCAGAGGGCAUGCCCUAGGGGGGCAGGCGCGCCCCUGACCCUCAUGGACACCCCGUAAGGCGGUUGGUGCCCUUCUUUCGCCGCAAGAAAGCUAAUAUCCGGAUAGAGAUCGUGUUAAAAUUUUAGCCCAAUCGGAGUUACGCAUCUCCGGGAAUAUAAGAAACGCUGAAAGGGUAGAAUCUGGGAACGCAGAAACAGAGAGAGAGAGAUCCAAUCUUGGAGCCAUGCCAUGGAGGCCAAGGACCAGAGGGGAAACCCUUCUCCCAUCUAGGGAGGAGGUGAAGGAAGAAGAAGACGAAGGGGCCCCCUCUCCCCUUCUCUUCCGGUGGCGCCGAAACGCUGCCGUGGCCAUCAUCAUCACCGCAAUCUUCACCAACAACUUCACCGCCAUCAUCACCAACUCUUCCCCCCUCUAUGCAGCGGUGUAACCUCUCUCUUACCCGCUGUAAUCUCUACUUAAACAUGGUGCUCAACGCUAUAUAUUAUUUCCUAAUGAUGUAUGUCUAUCCUAUGAUGUUUGAGUAGAUCCGCUUUGUCCUAUGGGCUAUUUGAUGAUCGCGAUUGGUUUGAGUUGCAUGUUUUAUUAUUGGUGUUGUCCUAUGGUGCUCUCCGUGUCACGCAAGCGUGAGGGAUCCCCAUUGUAGGGUGUUGCAAUACAUUCAUGAUUCGCUUAUAGUGGGUUGCGUGAGUGACUGAAACACAAACCCAAGUAAGGGGGUUGUUGCGUAUGGGAUAAAGAGGACUUGAUGCUUUAAUGCUAUGGUUGGGUUUUACCUUAAUGAUCUUUAGUAGUUGUGGAUGCUUGCUAGAGUUCCAAUCAUAAGUGCAUAUGAUCCAAGUAGAGAAAGUAUGUUAGCUUAUGCAUCUCCCUCAUAUAAAAUUGCAAUAAUGAUUACCGGUCUAGUUAUUGAUUGCCUAGGGAUAAAUAACUUUCUCGUAACAAAACACUCUUUACUAAAACUAAUUUAGUUGUGUCUUUAUCUAAACAGCCCUCUUUAUUUACGCGCUCUUUAUUAUCUUGCAAACCUAUCCAAAAACACCUACAAAAUACUUCUAGUUUCAUACUUGUUCUAGGUAAAGCGAACGUCAAGCGUGCGUAGAGUUGUAUCGGUGGUCGAUAAAACUUGAGGGAAUAUUUGUUCUGCCUUUAGCUCCUCGUUGGGUUCGAUACUCUUACUUAUCGAAAACUGUUGCGAUCCCCUAUACUUGUGGGUUAUCAAGACCUUUUUCUGGCACCGUUGCCGGGGAGCAAUAGCGUGGGGUGAAUAUUCUCGUGUGUGCUUGUUUGCUUUAUCACUAAGUAACUUUUAUUUGUUGUUCUUAGUUGUUCUCUAUCUUUAGUUAUGGAUAUGGAACACGAAAUACCAAAAAAAUUAGGUGUACUUACUACUCAUGGAGAUAAGGAAUCUCCUAAAACCCUCGAUGCUGGUUAUGUGAAAGAUAUUAUGUACUACUUUAAUAAUCACGAGAAAACCCCAUUCAAUUAUGUAAUGGGAGUAAUGUUGGAUCAACGCGAAUACUUUAGGGAUUAUCGCUUGACACAAAAAGGGAAACUAUUAUGGGAUCAAAUUCAUAUAUUGAAUUGGUAUGCUAGGCAACUAUGCUUGAGAUGUGAUUAUACUUGUUGCUCUAGGAUGAAGGCUCCACACCUUCCCUUUUUAUGUGAAUUUAAUGAUAAUAAAAUCUUAGCUUCUUAUGCUAAUGGUAUAUAUGAUUACUAUGAUGUGGAACAAAUAGAAGAAUUUGUUGCUUUUAUGGGUGCUUAUGAAAUUGAAUCUAUGUUUAAAGAGUUUGAAGAUUUGAUGAUUCAGUUUAUAGACCUAAAAAUUUAGCUAUCCUUAAAUAUUUCUAUGAGAAUUAUGAAUACAAUUAUGAUAUUAAUGCACUUAUUGAGAAAGUCUCCGCUGUCCAAGAAGAGACUAAUAUUUUGCAGGAAUCUAUGGAAGAAGAAGUUGAUGAAACUGUGAGGUCAUUGGAUGAAAAAGAUGAGGAGGAGAGUGAAGAACAAAAGGAGGAAGAGCAGAUUGAUCACCCGUGCCCACCUUCUAAAGAGAGUAACUCUUCAACUCAUACAUUGUUUAAUUUCCCUUCAUGCUUACCGAAGGAUGAUUGUUAUGAUCCCGUUGAUUCUCUUGAAAUAUCCCUUUUUGAUGAUGCUUGCUAUGCUUGUGGCCAAGAUGCCAAUAUGAAUUAUGGAGAUGAACUUGCUAUAGUUCCUUAUGUUAAACAUGAAAUUGUUGCUAUUGCAUCCACGCAUGAUAGUCCUAUUAUCCUUUUGAAUUCUCCCGACUACACUAUAUCGGAGAAGUUUGCACUUAUUAAGGAUUAUAUUGAUGGGUUGCGUCUUACUAUUACACAUGAUAAUUUUGAUGAAUAUAAUAUGCAUGUGCUUGCUGCUCCUACUUGCAAUUAUUAUGAGAGAGAAACUAUAUCUCUACCUCUCUAUGUUUUCCACAUGAUAAAAUUGCAAGAAACUGUUUAUACUAUGCAUUGGCCUUUACUAUGUGUGCAUGAAUUGUUCUUUUAUGACAUGCCGAUGCAUAGGAAGAGAGUUAAACUUCAUUGUUACAUGAUAUAUUUUACUUUGUGCUCACUACUAAAUUACAAAUCAUUGUUAAUUAAAAUUGGCUUUGAUAUACCUUGGGAUCCGGGUGGAUUCACUACUUGAGCACUAUAUGCCCAGCUUAAUGGCUUUAAAGAAAGCGCUGCCAGGGAGACAACCCGGAAGUUUUAGGGAGUCAUUUAUUUCUGUUGUGUGCUUUUAUAUAGUUUAAAAAUGACAAAAAUAAAGAGGGGAACCCAAAACUUUUUCAAAAAGGAAAGUGAAAGUGAGAAAGACAAGCAUUGUUGAAGUGGGAGAGCUCCUUGAACUUUGUUCAUGCUCACGGCAACUUUGUGAAUCUUGAUUACAGAAAAUUUUCAACAAAAAUAAUUAUCCCCUUGUACAAUUUCAUUGUAUUAUAAAAAUAAUGUGCCAAGGUUUGCCUUUAGGAUGUUUACAUUUGCUUGAUGGUUUGUACGGUGCAGGACAGAAACUUUGCCUGUAGUGCGCGAUUUUAGAUUUUUAGCUGGAACGACAAAUGGUUCUGAUUAUUUUUGCACUAUCUUUAUAUACAAAUUGUUUAUUUUUUAUAAUUUUGGCAGAAUUUUUUAAGUAUCAUAAGUAUGGUGAAUGUUCAGAUUAUUACAGACUGUUCUGUUUUAGACAGAUUCUGUUUCUGAUGCAUAGUUUGCUUGUUUUGAUGAAACUAUCAAUUUAUAUCAGUGGAUUAAGCCAUGAAAAAGUUAUAUUACAGUAGACACAAUGCAAAAACAAAAUAUGAAUUGGUUUGCAACAGUACUUAGAGUAGUGAUUUGCUUUAUUAUACUAACGGAUCUUACCGAGUUUUCUGUUGAAGUUUUGUGUGGAUGAAGUGUUUUAUGAUCGAGAAGGUAUCGAUGUGAGAAGAAGGAAGAGAGGCAAGAGCUCAAGCUUGAGGAUGACCGAGGCACCCCAAGUAAAUAUUCAAGGAGACUCAAGCAUCUAAGCUUGGGGAUGCCCCAGAAGGCAUCCCCUCUUUCUUCAACAAGUAUCGGUAUGUUUUCGGAUUCGUUUCGUUCAUGCGAUAUGUGCAAUCUUGGAGCGUCUUUUGCAUUUAGUUUUCAUUUUUAUUUUAUGCACCAUUCUGGUAUGAGAUAGUCCUUGUUUGAUUUAUAGAAUGCUCAUUGCACUUCACUUAUAUCUUUUGAGUAUGGCUUUAUAGAAUGCUUCAUGUGCUUCACUUAUAUCAUUUGAAGUUUGGAUUGUCUGUUUCUCUUUACAUAGAAAACCGCCAUUUGUAGAAUGCUCUUUUGCUUCACUUAUAUUUGUUAGAGCGUGCGCAUAUCUUUUGUAGAAAGAAUUAAACUCUCUUGCUUCACUUAUAUCUAUUUAGAGAGAUGACAGGAACUGGUCAUUCACAUGGUUAGUCAUAAAAUCCUACAUAAAACUUGUAGAUCACUGAAUAUGAUAUGUUUGAUUCCUUGCAAUAGUUUUGCGAUAUAAAGAUGGUGAUAUUAGCGUCAUGCUAGUGGGUAGUUGUGGAUUAGUAGAAAUACUUGUGUUGAGGUUUGUGAUUCCCAUAGCAUGCACGUAUGGUGAACCGUUAUGUAACGAAGUCGGAGCAUGAUUUAUUUAUUGAUUGUCUUCCUUAUGAGUGGCGGUCAGGGACGAGCGAUGGUCUUUUCCUACCAAUCUAUCCCCCUAGGAGCAUGCACGUAGUACUUUGUUUCGGUGACUAAUAGAUUUUUGCAAUAAGUAUGUGAGUUCUUUAUAACUAAUGUUGAGUCCAUGGAUUAUACGCACUCUCACCCUUCCACCGUUGCUAGCCUCUCUAGUAUCGCGCAACUUUCGCCGGUACCAUAAACCCACCAUAUACCUUCCUAAAAACAGCUACCAUACCUACCUAUCAUGGCAUUUCCAUAGCCAUUCCGAGAUAUAUUGCCAUGCAACUUCCAUCAUCGUCAUAUACAUGACUUGAGCAUUCAUUGUCAUAUUGCUUUGCAUGAUCGUAAGAUGGCUAGCAUGGUGUUUUCAUGGCUUGUCCAUUUUUGAUGUCAUGGCUACGCUAGAUCAUUGCACAUCCCGGUACACUGCCAGAGGCAUUCAUAUAGAGUCAUAUCUUUGUUCUAGUGUCGAGUUGUAAUAUUGAGUUGUAAGUAAAUAAAAGUGUGAUGAUCAUCAUUAUUAGAGCAUUGCCCCAGUGAGGAAAGGAUGAUGGAGACUACGAUUCCCCCACAAGUCGGGAUGAGACUCCGGACGAACAAAAAAAGGAGAAAGGCCAAAAAAAAGAGAAGGCCCCCAAAAAAUUAAAAAUAAAAAAUGAGAGAAAAAGAGAGAAGGGGCAAUGUUACUAUCCUUUUACCACACUUAUGCUUUAAAGUAGCACCAUGUUCUUCAUAUAGAGAGUCUCUUGACUUAUCACUUUCAUAUACUAGUGGGAAUUUUCAUUAUAGAACUUUUCUUGUAUAUUCCGAUGAUGGGCUUCCUUAAAUGCCCGAGGUCUUCAUGAGCAAGCAAGUUGGAUGCACAUCCACUUAGUUUCAGUUUGAGCUUUCAUACACUUAUAGCUCUAGUGCAUCCGUUGCAUGGCAAUCCCUACUCACUCACAUUGGUAUCUAUUGAUGGGCAUCUCCAUAGCCCGUUGAUACGCCUAGUUGAUGUGAGACUAUCUUCUCCUUUUGUCUCCUCCACAACCACCAUUCUAUUCCACCUAUAGUGCUAUGUCCAUGGCUCACGCUCAUGUAUUGCGUGAAAGUUGAAAAGGUUUGAGAACGUCAAAAGUAUGAAACAAUUGCUUGGCUUGUCAUCAGGAGUGUGCAUGAUGUGAAUAUUUUGUGUGGUGAAGAUGGAGCAUAGCCAGACUAUAUGAUUUUGUAGGGAUAACUUUCUUUGGCCAUGUUAUUUUGAAAAGACAUGAUUGCUUUAUUAGUAGGCUUGAAGUAUUAUUGUUUUUAUGUCAAAUGAUAGACUAUUGCUUUGAAUAACUCAUAUCUUAAUAUUCAUGCCAUGAUUAGAUAUGUGAUCAAGAUUAUGCUAGGUAGCAUUCCACAUCAAAAAUUAUCUUUUUUAUCAUUUACCUACUCGAGGACGAGCAAGAAUUAAGCUUGGGAUGCUGAUACUUCUCCGUCGUAUCUAUAAUUUUUGAUUGUUUCAUGCCAAUAUUCUACAACUUUCAUAUACUUUUGGCAACUUUUCAUACUAUUUUUGAGACUAACAUAUUGAUCCAGUGCCCAGUGCCAGUUCCUGUUUGUUGCAUGUUUUUUGUUUCGCAGAAAAUCCAUAUCAAACGGAGUCCAAACGGGAUAAAAACGGACGGAGAUUUUUUUUGGAAUAUAUGUGAUUUUUGGGAAGUGAAAUCAACGCGAGACGAUGCUCGAGGGGCCCACGAGGCAGGGGGCACGCCCCAGGGGGGCAGGCGCGCCCCUGACCCUCGUGGCCACCUCGUAAGGCGGUUGGUGCCCUUCUUCCGCCGCAAGAAAGCUAAUAUCCGGAUAGAGAUCGUGUUAGAAUUUCAGCCCAAUCGGAGUUACGGAUCUUCGGGAAUAUAAGAAACGCUGAAAGGGUAGAAUCUGAGAACGCAGAAACAGAGAGAGACAGAGAGACAAAUCCAAUCUCGGAGGGGCUCUCGCCCCUCCCAUGCCAUGGAGGCCAAGGACCAGAGGGGAAACCCUUCUCCCAUCUAGGGAGGAGGUCAAGAAAGAAGAAUACGAAGGGGGCCCCUCUCUCCUUCUCUUCCGGUGGCGCCGGAACGCUGUCAUGGCCAUCAUCAUCAUCGCAAUCUUCACCAACAACUUCACCGCCAUCAUCACCAACUCUCCCCCCCCCCUCUAUGCAGCGGUGUAACCUCUCUCUUACCGCUGUUAUCUCUACUUAAACAUGGUUCUCAACGCUAUAUAUUAUUUCCUAAUGAUGUAUGGCUAUCCUAUGAUGUCUGAGUAGAUCUAUUUUGUCCUAUGGGCUAUUUGAUGAUCGUGAUUGGUUUGAGUUGCAUGUUUUAUUAUUGGUGCUGUCCUAUGGUGCUAUCCGUGUCGCGCAAGCGUGAGGGAUCCCCGCUGUAGGGUGUUGCAAUACGUUCAUGAUUCGCUUAUAGUGGGUUGCGUGAGUGACUGAAACACAAACCCGAGUAAGGGGGUUGUUGCGUUUUAAUGCUAUGGUUGCGUUAAUGCUAUGGUUGGGUUUUACCUUAGUGAUCUUUAGUAGUUGCGGAUGCUUGCUAGAGUUCCAAUCAUAAGUGCAUAUGAUCCAAGUAGAGAAAGUAUGUUAGCUUAUGCCUCUCCCUCAUAUAAAAUUGCAAUAAUGAUUACCGGUCUAGUUAUUGAUUGCCAAUGGGGUAGUUCCUAAGUAUGUUCUGUUUCACACAAAAAAGUUCCUAAGUAUGUUCUAAAUCUGAAAAAUGCAUUGUUGGGUGAGGUUGAUAGGUGUAAUGGUUUUCCCGCUUCUUGAUCAGUUUUUUGGAGGCCAUGGGCAUGGCAUUUUUUUAUAUUUGCAUGGACUUUGUUCCUCUUCGCUAUUUUCUCUCUUUAGUGUUUCUUUGAUGUUCCUUUCUCGCACCAUUCCUGAUCCUUGCUUUAUUAGGUAAGAUAGUUUCUUUGUUUGCUGCCAAUAAUGAAUAUACAUAUAUAACUCUCGAGUGUGAGAAGCAGACAUGCUAAAAAUGUUGCCUUUGAUAAUUUAUGCACAAAUCAUGUGUUGCUGUUGUAUGGGUUCCAAACGGUUUGGGCUAAACAAUGUAUAAGUUUACAAAAAGGGUGUGUUUUGGGAUGGCAAUGAAGUACAUUUGAGAAAUAAGAUAUCUUCUCUACUUUCGGUAAAUUAUUCCUCCGGCUCAAGUGAUAGCCACAUUAUGAAAGGAGCGAGGGUUGACAACCCGAUCAACAACGGCGACAAUCCAGAUAUGUACAAAUGUACUAAGCAGCACCGCCAUUGUCUCUAAAUUGUGUUGAUGACAUGUGUACUAAGUUGAAUAUUACAUAGUGUGUCUGCAAGGAAUCCAUCACAUCGUGCUAUUACAUAGUGUGUAAAUUCCUGUGCAACUUCUCUGGUCUUGUGUUCAACUCUGCUUAUAAAGCCUUGUGAAGGAGAAAUAUCAUCUAUCAUGUAUUUCUGUGUUGACAGCCAGUUGCUUAAUUGAUCGACUAUAGUAUAAAGAAAUGUAUUAGAAGAGCAUAAAGGUAAAUAUAUACAAGUAGCUGUCAAACUAUAAUUUAGUAUACCAUUAGGAAAGGUAUAUACCUGUGCGUAGCUCAAAGGGCCAAUACUUCUGUUCCUCACUAGAUCACAUCCGAAACAACCAUAGUGAUCCUCACAAGAUAACCAACUUUUGAAUGUGCCAUCUCGGUGUUAUUAGGUGUGCCGGUUAAUUAUAUCUGUUGACCCACGGUGUGACCUACUAUGAACUAUGUCCAUAACCGAGGACGCGGCUAUCGAUAGAUUAUACACUCUAUAGAGGUUAGUACAUUGUACCCACACCACGGAAUUCAUGGCCUAGUGCUCCCAUUUGGGUGGACCAACAACAUUCUGACAAAACCAAUCUAUUACAUGACACUCUCCCGACCACUCUAACAAACUCCCCUUUGGGCUAAGUCCUGGGUGGCCCCAAUGUCACCGCGUGACAUCCGGCACCUUCGUGGCCGACCACCGUCGUGGCCAAAACUAAAAUAAACGUCCCAAACAGGGACAAUGGUACCAUACAACUCUGGGCACACAAGAUUAUGGCUGCCUAGCGGGCCAGUGCAGAGCGGUCACAUAGCUUUCCCUAGUUGGAGGCACCGGCGGGAGGCAUGACAAUAAACCGAAUUAGGGCCUCUCCAUCCAGGCAAGUGUGGUUGCACUGGUGAGCUUGAUUCGGUGGCACCAUGACUCAAUCAAUAGCUUGUUCAAGUUGAAUUAACAUCAUGUUUAACUUGAAUUUAAAAUUAUUCGAGUCAUAGUAUGGAAUGAAAUGCACGGGUCAUGAAUAUGAAAAGUAAAUGCAUCAUCAUUAGUAUGAACAUAUAACAUGAUCUCUACUGCAAAUAUUACCAAGAUGACAUAUAUUCUACUGCAAAGAUAUAACAUGGAUGAAAUAAUAUGCACAUGGUUCAUAUAGCAAAUUAUUUCAACUAAAUGGUAUUAAAAUGAAUUUUAAUUCAAGUAAAAUCAUUGUUAUUGCAAUGCCAUACUUGCAAAUGAUUGUUGUGGCUUGCCUUAGUUCAGAGGAGUGUCACAAUACUCCUGGUCUUCUCCAAGGCAACUAGAACCUUCUGAAAAAUAAUUAAAAUGCAAAAACAAAAUGUCACAUAAAGCCUUUUAUUGCACCAGAAAUUAUCUACAGCAAAAAAAUCUCAAACUUGGCAAACAGAAACUUUAGCUCAUUACAAAACUAGUGAAAAAAGAAUCAACUCAUUUGGACUUAUGGUUUAGGAGAUAUUCCUGGUCAAAGUUCUGGUCAAAAUAUAUGAAUUAAACUAAAAUUCAGAAAAUCCAGGAGAGGCCACGUCGAAGGCAUAUUUUCAGAAUACACCUCCACUCAUACCGCUUCGGGCGAGCGAGAGAGAGGCUGAGAGGUGGGGCCCGCUGUCAGGUUUGAGGGAGAGAGAGAGAGAGAGAGGGAAACAGAGGAGGCGGCUCUGUCGCCGGUGGUUCUUCGACGAGGAGGCCACGGCGACCACCGGAGAGGAGGGGGAUCGGAUGGGUCCAAAGCAUCGAGGCUAGCACAGAUGUACCCGAAGUGACGACGGAGGUGGAUGGACGGCGUCGGGGCAUUCUUCUAUAGAGAUGGCAGGCGGUGGAGCUCUUCGGAGUUGAUGAUUCUGGCGCGAAUCCGACGAACCAACGGCACCGUCGUGCUUAGGAGAUCAACACGAACAUGCCUGAGGGAGUGGGCGAAGGCGGGGAGCAUCGGAGCAGGAGAUCGACCAUGGGGCAUCCACGGCCAACUCCGGCGAGGAUCGGUGGCAGGAGGCCCUCCAGGCCUUGCCGCACUAGCUAGGAAGAAGAUUUGUGGCCAUAGUAGUAGUUUGGGAUGAUUGAAAUGACUAGGGAAGCGCUCUAUAUAUAGACGACGAGGAGACUGAUCUCGGGCUCCGUUGGAGAUGAGCUGCAGAAGAAAUGAGAGGGGAAAGGGCUGGGGACUCAAUGCGUAGGGGUAGUAGAUGAUGCCAAGAACAGUGGGUGCACACGGCCAAAGCUACAACGCGCGAGGUGGGACAAGACGUUCACGCGGGCGCACUAUACCGACCAGACUCGCCGUGUCCGCAUCCGCCGUGCAGUCUGCCAGUGUCGGGGAGGGGCAGAGGAGUGCUAGGUGGGGAGAGCUGAGUGUGCUGAGUGGAGCGGACAUGCUGCGGUGGCGUGAGGAGGGCAAACGGGCGGCGGUAGGAGGGUUCCGGCCUCCAGAGCGCGUUGAACGCCUGUCGAACACCCUGCACACGCGCGGUCAUCGCGUGCACUGGCACACGCGGUGCGUCUGAGGCUGCCAGACCGUGUCUAGGGUGUAGUCCCUUCAACACGGUGCUGCAGAGUGCCCUCAGAUCGACACCUAGCCCAAUGGACAAGACAUGAGAGGGAAGAAAAGUUUCUGGAUAGAAACUUGUGAUGAGACUUGAGAGAAAAUUACUUGGCAUUAAAGAGUAAAACUUGGAGGUUAAGCUUCUACUAGGAAGGUAGUCAUGUGGUAAAAAUUUCAUCCCAAAUGGAUCAAGUGAAAAUAUACUUGCUUCACAAAGUGACAUUUCUGUCCAGAAGUAAAAAUAUUUUCUUGAGCUGAAAUUCUCCAAAUGACCAUGCCAUAUUUUUUGCAUGGGAAGGUGAGGCAUGAUCCAAAGAAUAUUUGGGAAUUUAUUGGGAAUUUUUAGAGCAAGAAAAAAUGAGGGUUGCUUCGUAGCAUAUUGAAGAAACAUUCAUUUUUAGAAUGAAAAUGAAUAUUAUGCCAUUAAAUAAAAUUAUUCCAUGGCAUUAUUUUGAGAGUGAUGAGGUCAAGAGAGGGUUUAGUUAUGAUAGAACCCACUUGGAAGAAAAACAGAAUGAUUUCCAAGUGAUAAGUCCAAAAGAAGUUGACUGAAAAUCCAAAUGCAAAUCAAAUAUUCAAUAAAUCCCGGAAAAAGAAAAAUGGGCAAAAUCCAGGGUGUCACAAGUUACCGCAUGAAGACGUGCAUAAGCUCGUUCUCCGCCACUGAUGUAACAGUUUAGGGAAAGAAUGGUGGCCCCCUCCGCCUGUCAAACCAGAGUCAGAGAGGAGGUCUGACGACCGCAGUUGCACUGACCAGACGGCGACCGCAAGAAGCAAGCAUCCGACCUCCUUCAAUCCAUCCAGAUGAUGACAUCAUAGCCGGGCUCCAGCAAGGCGACACAACAAAGGAGCCGCCGGAGGUCUCACGAUCUUCACUGCGACCUCCGCCACACUCGGGGGCUACUGACGGGGUCCUGUACCGGGGGAGGGGGGCUAACACCAAGGAGCCCGACCUCGUCAACUACAAGGGGCCCAACAGGCCCGCAGUGUGGUUCUAACCCUAAGGAACCCGAAGACCUUCUUGACGCCCAAGUCUAGAGGAUGGCAACAUCCCCAUAUCUCAUCUAGCAUGUAAACCCUAGGCCUCUCUUGUCUAUAUAAAGGGAGGCCUAGGGUCCCCGUUGUUCGAUCUAUCCUUAGAUAGGAGAAACUCUCAGUAGCAACAUCAUACACCAUUGUAUCCCUUGCACGAGGUAUCCCUCCAUUAUAAAUAACCAAACCAGCAGGACGUAGGGUAUUACUCUCCGGAGGCCCGAACCUGGAUAAAUCCCUCGUGUGACCUCUGAUCCAUGACUUCGAACUGCGCUUAGACCCUACCGAGGGAUCUGACGGAAAUAUGCUCCGGCAUGCUCCAUAAUAGACACUUCCUCUUAUCCAAUUCUAUUAGCAAAAAAUAUAUCUUCCUCUUCAAGUUGUUGUUGGGGAUCGUUGCAGAAAUUAAAAAAAAUUCUACGCAUCACCAAGAUCAAUCUAUGGAGAAACUAGCAACGAGAGAGAGGGGAGUGCAUCUUCAUACCCUUGAAGAUCGGGCUUGGGUCCAUUCUUUGGCUUCUUUCCGGCAACUGGCUUACCGGUUGUGGCAACUCCCUUGCCGUCCUUCUUGAAGUUCUUAUUACCCUUGCCUUUCUUGAAACUAGUGGUUUUAUUGACCAUCAACACUUGAUGUUCCUUUUUGAUCUCCACCUCCGCUGAUUUCAGCAUUGAAUAUACCUCAGGAAUGGUUUUCUCCAUCCCCUGCAUAUUGAAGUUCAUCACAAAGCUCUUGUAGCUAGGUGGAAGCGACUGAAGGAUUCUGUCAAUGACCGCGUCAUCCGGGAGAUUAACUCCCAGCUGAGAUAAGCGGUUGUGCAACCCAGACAUUUUGAGUAUGUGCUCGCUGACAGAACUAUUCUCCUCCAUCUUACAAUUGUAGAACUUGUCGGAGACUUCAUAUCUCUCGACCCAGGCAUGAGCUUGGAAAACCAUUUUCAGCUCUUGGAACAUCUCAUAUGCUCCGUGUUGCUCAAAACGCUUUUGGAGCCCCGGUUCUAAGUUGUAAAGCAUGCCGCACUGAACCAGGGAGUAGUCAUCACUACGCGACUGCCAGGCGUUCAUAACGUCUUGAGUUUAUGGGAAAACAAGUGCGUCACCUAGCGGUGCUUCAAGGACAUGUGCUUUCUUGGCAGCUAUAAGGAUAAUCCUCAGGUUACGGACCCAGUCCGUGUAGUUGCUACCAUCGUCUUUCAGCUUGGUUUUCUCUAGGAACGCGUUGAAGUUGAGGGCAACAUUAGCAUGGGCCAUUUGAUCUACAAGACAUAUUGUAAAUAUUUUAGACUAAGUUCAUGAUAAUUAAGUUCAUUUAAACAAAUUAUUCAAUGAACUCCCACUCAGAUAGAACAUCCCUCUGGUUAUCUAAGUGAUUCAUGAUCCAAAUCGACUAGGCCAUGUCCGAUCAUCACGUGAGAUGGACUAGUCAUCAAUGGUGAACAUCUCCAUGUUGAUCGUAUCUUCUAUACGACUCAUGUUCGACCUUUCAGUCUUCCAUGUUCUGAGGCCAUGUCUGUACAUGCUAGGCUCAUCAAGUCAAUCUAAGUGUAUUGCGUGUAUAAAUCUGGCUUACACUCGUUGUAUGCGAACGUUAGAACCUAUCACACCCUAUCAUCGCGUGGUGCUUCGGAACAACGAACCUUCGCAAUGGUGCACAGUUAGGGGGAACACUUUCUUCAAAUUUUAGCGAGGGAUCAACUUAUUUAAGCUACCGUCAUUCUACGCAAAUAAGAUGCAAAAACAUGAUAAACAUCACAUGCAAUCAAAUAGUGACAUGAUAUGGCCAAUAUCAUUUUGCUCCUUUUGAUCUCCAUCUUCGGGCGCCAUGAUCAUCAUCGUCACCGGCAUGACACCAUGAUCUCCAUCAUCAUGAUCUCCAUCAUCGUGUCUUCAUGAAGUUGUCUCGCCAACUAUUACUUCUACUACUAUGGCUAACGGUUAGCAAUAAAGCACCGCGGAAGGAGGAGGAGGUGUUGGAGAGGGGAAGGGCUACGCCUUGGAUGUGGUGCGGCUGCCCUCCCACCUCCCCUUUAUUUAUAGGGGCAAGGAAGAGGGGGGCCGGCCCCCUCCAGAUGGAUCUAGAGGGGGGGCGGCGGCCAAGGGGGGAGGCUCGCCCCUUUAGGGUUUCCCCCCAACCCUAGGCGCAUGGGCCCUAGGGGUUUUUGGUGCCCAUCCCACCUAGGGGCCGGUUCCCCUCCAUAUUCAUCCCAUAGGGCCCUCUAGGGCAGGUGGACCCUCCCGGUGGACCCUCGGAACCCUUUCGGUGGUCCCGGUACAAUACCGAUAAACCCCGAACAUUUCCGGCGACCGAAUAAGGACUUACCAUAUAUAAAUGUUUACCUCCGGACAAUUCCGGAACUCCUCGUGACGUCAGGGAUCUCAUCCAGGACUCCGAACAACAUUCAGUAACCACGUACAAACUUUCCCAAUAACCCUAGUGUCAUCGAACCUUAAGUGUGUAGACCCUACGGGUUCGGGAGGCAUGUAGACAUGACCGAGACAUCUCUCCGGCCAAUAACCAACAACGGGAUCUGGAUACCCAUGUUGGCUCCCACAUGCUCCAUGAUGAUCUCAUCGGAUGAACCACGAUGUCGGGGAUUCAAUCAAUCCCGUACACAAUUCCCUUUGUCUACCAGUAUGAUACUUGCCCGAGAUUCGAUCGUCGGUAUCCCUAUACCUUGUUCAAUCUCGUUACCGGCAAGUUCUCUUUACUCGUUCGUAACACAUCAUCCCGUGAUCAACUCCUUCUCACAUUGAGCUCAUAAUGAUGAUGUCCUAUCGAGUGGGCCCAGAGAUACCUCUCCGUCACACGGAGUGACAAAUCCCAGUCUCGAUUCAUGCCAAUCCAACAUACACUUUCGGUGAUACCCGUAGUGCACCUUUAUAGCCACCCAGUUACGUUGUGACCUUUGGCACUCCCAAAGCAUUCCUAUGGUAUCCGGGAGUUGCACAAUCUCAUGGUCUAAGGAAUUUAUACUUGACAUUAGAAAAGCUUUAGCAGACGAACUACACGAUCUUGUGCUAUGCUUAGGAUUGGAUCUUGUCCAUCACAUCAUUGUCCUAAUGAUGUGAUCCCGUUAUCAAAGACAUUCAAUGUCCAUGGUCAGGAAACCGUAACCAUCUAUUGAUCAACGAGCUAGUCAACUAGAGGCUCACUAGGGACAUGUUGUGGUCUAUGUAUUCACAUAUGUAUUACGAUUUUCGGAUAACAUAAUUAUAGCAUGAACAAUAGACAAUUAUCAUGAACAAGGAAAUAUAAUAAUAACCAUUUUAUUAUUGCCUCUAGGGCAUAUUUCCAACAGUUAUAGUCAACCAUAAUUGGUCAGAUCAUUCCUUGAAAGAUUUUUUUGUCUUCCUCCAUAGAACAGACUAGCAAAAGAGCCCAUGCAUUGCAACGGGAUAAAAAAUAUAUACCACACGUCUCUACACAAUAACCAUGACUGAAGAUCCAACAUGUCCACAUGCAUCUCAUAUCUGUUGCCGCUUAUCCUCCUUCGCACCUUCUUCAACAGUGGCUAUGAUGCUCACAUAAUCAUAACACGUUUGACUGUAGUCAAUUCUAAGGCGUUUUCUCCCCCCUCUCUCUCCUCAUAAGAUGAAAAUUUUACUUUGUUUUUUCACAUGGAGUUUUUGCCGAGGCGUGUAUGCGUGGUUAUCGAUGGGGUUUUUCGUCUCCAAAAAGAUUUUGCUAAGAUGUUGAUUUCUAAUACACAUCUACAUCGGAAUAAAAUAAAGACGGUUUGAUUAAGAUUGCACCAUAAAUAACAUUUCAAAAAUGUCUAAUAGGUAAAACAAUAUCACAUUCAAAUUCUACAUAUUUUUUGAAUCAAUUUUCAUAUAUAACAUGGCAAAAUUGGAAUUACACUUUAAAAGAUAUGAACCUAUACCUAAUAAUAAAGCUGUUAUUGAUUCUUGUGGUUAGUCGCCUCCAAAGUUGUAAAAUAUUACCCACUGAGCCACCUAUAAAUGAUAAAAAACUGUUUCACACAGGGAAAUCCCCGUCUGGCCGGCCCAUGUAGUAGGAACCUUCUAUACUGCGCUCUGCGCGCUGGGAGAAGACACAGCUGGCAUGUUUGGGCCGGCUCAUGUCCGAGCGGCCAGUUUUUUAAUUCUUUUUGUUUUCCUUUUCCGUCUUUCUUUUUUCUACUUUAAAUAAUUUGGGACUUCAAAAAAGUUUCAACAAAAUAAAAGAAAUGUGGAUUUUGAAAUAAAAUGUUUGUGGAUUCAACAAAUGUAUGAGAUUUAAAAAAAUAUUUGCCUAUUCAGAAAAUGUAGUAAUUUUGAAAACAAAUGUUCAGGAAAUAAAAAAAAGUUCAUGAUUUUUGCUAAAUGUCCGUCUAUUAAAAAAUGUUAAUGAAAAUGAACAAAAUUUCGCCAAUUCAAGAAUGUUCAUGAAUUGAAAAAUAUCAUAAUAAUUCAAAAAAUGUUCAUGACUUGCAAAAUAGUUUAUUGAUUCAUAAAAUGCUCGCUGAUUGAAAAAUGAUCGUACAUUUUAGAAAAUGUUCGUUAAAUCAAAAAAAUGUUCGUGAAUUUCAAAAAUUGUUCCAUCAAUUAUCUAAACAAUGUUCGUCGAUUUUAGAAUGUUUGCCAUUUCAAGAAAAAUGUUUUAAAAAAUGUUCAUAAUUUUUUAUUUUUUGCAAAUAGUAUAAAAUGCUCAUGAAUUCAUAAAACGUUUAUGAUUUUAGACAACGUUUGCAAUUUUUUAAAAUUGUUCAAGUAUUUGGAAAAUGUUCACGAUUUCAGAUAUGUUCAUCAGUUAAAAAAAUGUUCAUGAUUUUCAAAAAUUGUUCACGAUUUCACGAAAAUGAAAGUGAUAGUGUAUCUCGGUGAUGCAGCAAAAUGUGGUCAUGACCAUUAGAGAUUAUGAUUUUUUUUUCUUCAGUUGCAACGCAUGGGUCGUUUUGCUAGUAUUUUAAAAAGUCUUUAAACUCACUUAAAAAUAGAACUGUGGGUUUAUUAAGCAAAAGAACAAGGGGUUUACUGAAAAUUAGCGAAUAGUUUUUAUAUCACUUAAAAUGGCAUGAGUUACUGUGGUUUUGUGAUGGAUGGUCGACGACGUGUAUAGAAAAAGUGUGUCGCGCGUGUGUAUGAGUUGGAGUUGCAUGCUAGUCAGCUACAUAGCCCCCGGAGUGGUUGCAUGGUCAGGCGAGCUGUGGACGUGUCUUUUUUGUUUUUGAAUAUUAGCAUCUAAAAUUUGGUCACAUGCCACAUGAGAGGUAGAAAGGUCUUUUUCAGGUGACAUUUAACACCGUUAAGGCUUAAAAUAGACAAAAGUGUUAUAAAGGGCAUAAAAUUUAGAAUAAGUGUUAAAUAAGGAAGAAAAAUAUUUUCAGUGCCAAAUAGGGAAAGAAAAUUUAAGACAAUGUUAAAUAAGGAAUUCUCUCAAAACUAUUUGUAUUUGAUCGCUCAGUAAAAAGAUAUUUUUAUUUAGAAUUUGAAUCUCGUUAAAAAAAUACAUAAACUACCACACCUUUGAUCAUGUGGAAGAAAUCCACCCAAACUCUGGUGAUUUUGAUAAUGAAAUCAUACCAUUCCAUCAACAAGAAAACACACAUAAUACCAUUCAAAAAAACACAUAAUAUGAUCAAAAUUUAGUGUUAUAGUACACGGGUUUGUUAGCUUUUAUCUAGAAGAGUGUUAACUAUCUCGCUCAACUCCUCGGUCGAAUCAUAUAUUAUUCUUAAAAAGUCUAUUCAAGUUUUCUCAACAUAGAAAGUGUCCAUCUCAACGUCCCCAUUAAGUCAUGCAUUUAAGUGUUCUCUCCCACUAAGUCAUGCAUUUAACUGUACCACAUAAGAGCGUGAUUAACAAUAUAGCCGGUUGAUGGCUAUAACAUGUUGCCAUGUUAUCUAUAGCCAAUGUAAUAGCCAACAUGUAUAAUAGUGGGCUACAAGGAACUAGUACUUUUUUACCACAUGGCCCACCAUACACUCUCACAUAGUUUCUUGGAGCCCGUGCUACAGCCGGCUGUAAAUCUAUAAACCGCUUCUCCUCUCUCUUAUCUUCUCCCUCAUCCAGAUCAACAAAGAUAUAAUAUUUAAAGUUUUACAACCCGCCUACGUCACCUUAUUAUACUUGCUCUAAGUAAGCCAUGCAUUUAACUUAUAAAUUGUAUUAUUAUUUUACAUUAGUCUAUGCAUGUAGCACUGUCACAUCAUACAUACAUAUUAGUCAUUCUUCAUAUUUUUGUUCGAAAUGGCAUUUUUUGUUGUAAUUCUUUUUUAUUUCUAGACAUAUUUUUUAUUGAUUUUCAAGAUUAUAUAUUUUUCAUUAGAUUUAAUUAUUUUAGCAACUAUUUAUGCAUUUCUUUAACAAAGUUUCCGCAGCAAUGGGCAAAGCAUCAUCUAGUUUACAUGAAGAUUCGCGGAGAUGUUCCCUUUUUGUUUGACUACUUUAUGUGUUUUUUUCCACGUCACACACAAUUACAGCAUAUUCAUCUAUGUGUAAUUAUAGCACGCCCGCCGGCUAUGCGCAACUACAAUAUCCCACUUCAAUCGAGCGCAACUACAAUUGGGAGCACGCCAGCCGGCUAUUGCGGAAACGUAUGUCCACUAGAAGUGCGUAACUACUAACUAGAGUUACAACUGCAUGGCAACUAUAUUUACUAUAUUUUCUAAAGAGAAAAAAUACAGUAAAGAGGGUGGAGAAAAAGAAGGAGGAAAAAUAAGUGAAAGGAAUAAAAAAUCCUAUUAUUAAAAAACAGUAUAAUGCAGCUAGCUAGGAUCCUCCACAGCGAUUUGACUGCCUCAACCGUCGGAUCCUUGAACAUAUGAUCCAGAUCCAGCUCUGGUCAUCCCUGUGAUGCCCUCGACUUAAUCAUGCACUAAUCAUACACGCAAAUGUGCACGAUCAAGCACAAGGACUCAUGGGAAGAUAUCACAACACAACUCUAAACUCAAAUUUAAACAUAAAUCCACAUAUUACAAACCAGGGGUCACGAGGACCCGAAUACAUAAGUCAUACACACAAAUGAUAUCUAAGUGCAGACAUAGUUAGUCAAAUUUUGCCUUAAGAAGGCUGGCACAAACAAUGACUCUAGAUCGAAAAGGCGAAGGCCUCCUGCCUUGGGCCUCUGAUCCUACUCCUGGUUGGAUGGCUCAAUCUAGUAGUACGUGUUGUCGGGACCGUCCUGGUAGUAGGCUCCUGUGGUGGCAUCUGACUCCUGGGCUCCAUCGUCUGAAGUCAACAUAUGGUUAUGGGGAAAAAUGGGAAGCAAAGCAACCAUGAGUACUCAUCCGAAGUACUCGCAAGACUUACAUCAGAACUAUGCUAUGUAUGCAUUGUUAUCAGGUGAAAAGGCUGUAUCUGUGGACUAUAUAGCAGCAAAGCCAGAAUAGAGAGAAAAAGCCUAGCCUAUCGAAGACUAGCAUCUUCAUUGUCCACUAGUGCAGAACCGGGCAAUAGCACCGGUUCGUAAGGCCCUUUAGUGCUGGUUCGGUAACCGGCACUAAAGUGUGGACACUAAAGAGCCCCCCCCCCUUUAGUACCGAUUCAGCACGAACCGGUGCUAAAGGGCAACCACGUGGCACGAGCCAGCACCGUGGGCGCGUAGGACAUUAGUAUCGGUUGGUAACACCAAUCGGUACUAAAUGUUUGGGUGUGUUUUGGUUUUAUUUUUUAUUUUUAGUUUAAUUUUGUGUUUUCAAUUUAAUUUAGUGAUUGUUUUACAUUAUAAUGAGUUGUUAAAUCAUUAGGUGAAUGUACCGCAGAUUAGUUUGACUGGAUCGUGCUAAGUCAUCAAGUAUAUGUCAUAUCCAUAUUAUAUAUACUUGAUCACCUAAUUAAGUGAUCGAGGUAAUAUGGAUAUGGCAUAUACUUGAUCACUUAGCUAGAAUCCAUCCAGUUGAAACUAAUCUGCGGUUUCUUUCAUAAAUGAUAUAAUAACUCAUCAUCAUCAUCAUAUUAAUAAAAAAACUCUUGCAUCAUAUAUAUCAUCACCAACAACAGUUUUCAUAGCUAGCUAAAAAUCAUCAUAUAAUAGUCGUCUCAUUACCACUACUUAAUCAUCAUAUAGUCAUUACCGCUAUCUAGUCACCACCAACACUAGCUUAAAGAAGAAACAUUCACUUGUACCAGAAGCAAAGAUAUCAUCGAGUUCAACAUGGUAAUGAUAUUACAAGCGUUCAUAACACCACCAAAGCAAAUCACUCUUUGAGAUUAAGUUUAGGACGAAGAACACGGACAUGAGAGGACAAGUACUAAGAGCAUGAACUAGCUAAUUAAUCACUCCUGCUGCUCUCUCUCAGGUAAAAUAACAUAGAACAUGUAUAGCUUUGCUGAUUCAUCAUAUUGGAGCAUGCAGAUGAACAUGUCUCCUAAUCGUGGGUUGCGCUUCUGAUUGCUGCCCCCUAGUACUUCUCUGCGAUUGUUCACAAUUUUUCUCCAGUCUUUUACUAUUAAGCAUUCCUCGUUAUUAGAAAUCCUGAAUGCACUAAAGUGCAUUGUAGGAUAUCUUGGCGGUAAGCUAACAAUAUUCAUGGUACCUUUAGUCUCGAUCCAAUCAGGCACAACAUUCAUCGGGAGUCCCUGUUGAAGAACAUCAUAUAGUAACAUACUUAGCAAUGAAGUUUAGCUUAAAAAAAUAAUGUAUGCAAAAGAUGCACUGAGGAGAAAUAGUAGAAAUCUUACCAUCUUUCCUAAAUAUAUGUGACCAUAGUUCAGUACGAACACUAUUGGUCGCACGUUUUGAGUACUAACAUUUCUAAGUGCAGGAAAUUUUUUUGUCUUGACAGCAUCAAGAUCCUCAAGCCAUGAAAUAUAAUGACUUGUCUCCUCGCAGUUUAGUUCAGCCCUGGGACAGUGGACGGUCCUGUCUACCAAGCGUCGGACAUGUUUGCUUGAUUGGAAAUAAGCUAUCAAUAUAAAUUGAGAUCUAUUAAUUAUUCAACUGGUUCAAAUAAUCUCAUAUCAAAGACAUAAAUAUGGUUGAGAAACUCACAUAAUGGUAGAACUGGAUGCGUCUGCACAUCAACCCAGAUGUCUCUAAUACCUUCAAUAUCAUCUCCCGGACGAAUAUCAAAAGUGAUAACCAUAUCAGGCUCAAAUGCAUAAGCCUUGAAUAGUGCUUGCCAAGUUUUGCAUUCAAAAUAGGUGUAUGUGUCUGCAUUGUAUAAUUUGACGUUGAAGGUAUAACCAUGCUCGGUCUUCAAGUAAACUCUUUUUACCUCCAUAGUUUCGUUAGGACUGAAACCUAUCUUAUCCAAGACAAAAAUUCUUGCAUGGCAGGGGAUACGCUAUUAGAAUAGUGAAAAAUUAAAAUUAAAAGUUGAAGCAAAUGAAGCAUAAGUCAUGCUUAAUUAUGAAAAAAGACUUGUCGUUGUGACUUACUGUAUCCACUUCGGAGUUCUCAUCCAGCUUGAUGCUGAAGCGUCUAUCAUCAACUAGAAAAUUUCUGCCGCACAGGCCGCACUGGUCUUCGCAGUAUUCGCACAUAAUGAAAUCGUGUUCGUCGUCAGACGACAUUCCUAUCUUCAUAGGUGAAACAUUAAACACUUAUUAAUUCUAUUAAUUCUAUUAAUUUAAUUAAUUCUGUUAAUUCAACUAAUUAAUUGAACUAAUUCAACUAAGCACUUACGAAAAAUAUACCUAAAUAAAGUAGCUCAACUAAUUCAACUAAUUAGUUCAACUAAUUCAAAUAAACUAGUUCUAUUAAUUUUCUUACUAAAAAUNNNNNNNNNNNNNNNNNNNNNNNNNNNNNNNNNNNNNNNNNNNNNNNNNNNNNNNNNNNNNNNNNNNNNNNNNNNNNNNNNNNNNNNNNNNNNNNNNNNNNNNNNNNNNNNNNNNNNNNNNNNNNNNNNNNNNNNNNNNNNNNNNNNNNNNNNNNNNNNNNNNNNNNNNNNNNNNNNNNNNNNNNNNNNNNNNNNNNNNNNNNNNNNNNNNNNNNNNNNNNNNNNNNNNNNNNNNNNNNNNNNNNNNNNNNNNNNNNNNNNNNNNNNNNNNNNNNNNNNNNNNNNNNNNNNNNNNNNNNNNNNNNNNNNNNNNNNNNNNNNNNNNNNNNNNNNNNNNNNNNNNNNNNNNNNNNNNNNNNNNNNNNNNNNNNNNNNNNNNNNNNNNNNNNNNNNNNNNNNNNNNNNNNNNNNNNNNNNNNNNNNNNNNNNNNNNNNNNNNNNNNNNNNNNNNNNNNNNNNNNNNNNNNNNNNNNNNNNNNNNNNNNNNNNNNNNNNNNNNNNNNNNNNNNNNNNNNNNNNNNNNNNNNNNNNNNNNNNNNNNNNNNNNNNNNNNNNNNNNNNNNNNNNNNNNNNNNNNNNNNNNNNNNNNNNNNNNNNNNNNNNNNNNNNNNNNNNNNNNNNNNNNNNNNNNNNNNNNNNNNNNNNNNNNNNNNNNNNNNNNNNNNNNNNNNNNNNNNNNNNNNNNNNNNNNNNNNNNNNNNNNNNNNNNNNNNNNNNNNNNNNNNNNNNNNNNNNNNNNNNNNNNNNNNNNNNNNNNNNNNNNNNNNNNNNNNNNNNNNNNNNNNNNNNNNNNNNNNNNNNNNNNNNNNNNNNNNNNNNNNNNNNNNNNNNNNNNNNNNNNNNNNNNNNNNNNNNNNNNNNNNNNNNNNNNNNNNNNNNNNNNNNNNNNNNAGGGGGCAGCGACGAGGGCGGCGGGCGGUGGGACAGAGGAAAAGAAGCAGAUGAGAAACUGAAUUUUGCGAAGUGUUUUUUUAUAUAGGAUAGGCCUUUAGUACUGGUUGGAGCCACCAACUGGUACUAAAGGCCAACUUUGGCCAGGCCAAGAGGUGGGAAGAGCACCCUUUAGUAUCGGUUGAAGCCACCAACCGGUACUAAAGACCACCCUUUAGUACCGGUUGGAGCCACCAACCGGUACUAAAGGUUGUGCGCUGCCACCCACGGUGCACAAAGUGUAGUCCCACCUCGCCGGGCGAAGGGCAGCCGCACUGGUUUAUAAACCCAGCCGCGGUUGCCCUUUCGAACUCCUCUAUAAAGCAGGCUUCUGGUCCUAACUAGGGCGCGCUGCCCUAUGAGUCUGUUGGGCCUUGUGGGCCUGAAAUUACACGCCCGUGGUCUAGCAGGCCCACAGGACAGCGCCCCAAAUUUUUUUAUAUUUUUUUCUUUUCUGCGUUAUUUUUUCUUCUAUUUAUUUCUGAGUAGUUUUUUUCUUUUCUGCUAUAUUUAUUUUCUUCUAUUUAUUUCUGAGUAGUUUUUUAUAUAGUUUUUUUCUUUUCUUCUAUAGUUUUUUUCUUUUCUGCUAUAGUUUUUUUCUUUUCUGCUUUUUUUCUUUUCUGCUUUAUUUAUUUUCUUCUAUUCAUUUAUUUUUAUAUACCAUGCCAAGUUAAUGGUUGAAAGUUGAUGGCGUGGCUUUGAAUGGUGCAUACUGAAUGCACAAAAAGUCUGGAGUUAUAAUAAGUGUAAAAAAAUGAAGUGCCACUUUAACAGAUGAGUUCUCGUCCGAAACCCUAAAACUCCGAAAGAGAUUGUCCAGUUUGUACACGAAGUGCGUCUAGUUUUUGCCGUGACCCUCUCUACUCUUUCGCACAUGCUAUGCGGGUGAAAUGAUGAUAUCAUGCCAAGUUUCAACAUUUUCAUAGUUCAUUUUGUAGUGAUUUUCAAUUUCACGGUCAUUUAGCUCUCUAAACAAUUAGGUAAAUGACUGAAAAACAUCAAAUGAUGUCAGAACAUGUUAGAUAUUGAUGACGUCGCUUGGAAUGCUGCCUACUAAACACACAAGAAGUCCGGAGUUCAAAUAAGUUUAAAAAACAUUGAAGUGCCCAUGUAACAGAUGAGUUCUCGUCCGAAACCCUGAUACUUCAAAAGAGAUUGUCCAGUUUGUACACGAAGUACGUCCAGUUUUUGCCAUGACCCUCUCUACUCUUUCGCACAUGCUAUGCGGGUGAAAUGAUAAUACCAUGCCAAGUUUCAACAUUUUCACAGUUCAUUUUGUAGUGAUUUUCAAUUUCACGGUCAUUUAGCUCUCUAAACAAUUAGGUAAAUGACUGAAAAAUAGCAAAUGAUGCCAGAACAUGUUGGAAAUUGAUGACAUCACUUUGAAUGCUGCAUACUGAACGCAAAAUAAGUCCGGAGUUCAAAUAAGUUUAAAUAACAUUGAAGUGCCCAUGUAACAAAUGAGUUCUCGUCCGAAACCCUGAUACUCCGAAAGAGAUUGUCCAGUUUGUACACAAAGUGCGUCCAGUUUUUGCCGUGACCCUGUCUACUCUUUCGCACAUGCUAUGCGAGUGAAAUGAUGAUACCACGCCAAGUUUCAACAUUUUCACAGUUCAUUUUGUAGUGAUUUUCAAUUUCACGGUCAUUUAGCUCUCUAAACAAUUAGGUAAAUGACUGAAAAACAGCAAAUCAUGUCAGAACAUGUUGGAAAUUGACGACGUCGCUUUGAACGCUGCAUACUGAACGCAAAAGAAGUCCGGAGUUCAAAUAAGUUUAAAUAACAUUGAAGUGCCCAUUUAACAAAUGAGUUCUCGUCCGAAACCCUGAUACUCCGAAAGAGAUUGUCCAGUUUGUACACGAAGUGCGUCCAGUUUUUGCCGUGACCCUCUCUACUCUUUCGUACAUGCCAUGCGGGUGAAAGGAUGAUACCAUGCCAAGUUUCAACAUUUUCACAGUUCAUUUUGUAGUGAUUUUUAAUUUCACGGUCAUUUAGCUCUCUAAACAAUUAGGUAAAUGACUGAAAACAGCAAAUGAUGUCAGAACAUGUUGGAAAUUGAUGAAGUCGCUUUGAAUGCUGCAUACUGAACACACAAGAAGUCCGGAGUUCAAAUAAGUUUAAAAAACAUUGAAGUGACCAUGUAACAGAUGAUUUCACGUCCGAAACCCUGAUACUCCGAAAGAGAUUGUCCAGUUUGUACAUGAAGUGCGUCUAGUUUUUGUUGUGACCCUGUCUACUCUUUCGCACAUGCUAUGCGGGUGAAAUGAUGAUACCAUGCCAAGUUUCAACAUUUUCACAGUUCAUUUUGUAGUGAUUUUCAAUUUCAUGGUCAUUUAGCCCUCUAAACAAUUAGGUAAAUGACUGAAAAACAGUGAAUGAUGUCAGAACAUGUUGGAAAUUGACGACGUCGCUUUAAAUGCUGCAUACUGAACACAAAAUAAGUCCGGAGUUCAAAUAAGUUUAAAAAACAUUGAACUGCCCGUGUAACCGAUGAGUUCUCAUCCAAAACCCUGAUACUCCGAAAGAGAUUAUCCAGUUUGUAUACGAAGUGCGUCUAGUUUUUGCCGUGACCCUCUCUACUCUUUCGCACAUGCUAUGCGGGUGAAAUGAUGAUACCAUGCCAAGUUUAAACAUUUUCACAGUUCAUUUUGUAGUGAUUUUCAAUUUCACGGUCAUUUAGCUCUCUAAACAAUUAGGUAAAUGACUGAAAACAGCAAAUGACGUCAGAACAUGUUGGAAAUUGAUGACGUCGCUUUGAAUGCUGCAUACUAAACACACAAGAAGUCCGGAGUUCAAAUAAGUUUAAAUAACAUUGAAGUGCCCAUGUAACAAAUGAGUUCUCGUCCGAAACCCUGAUACUCCGGNNNNNNNNNNNNNNNNNNNNNNNNNNNNNNNNNNNNNNNNNNNNNNNNNNNNNNNNNNNNNNNNNNNNNNNNNNNNNNNNNNNNNNNGUUUCAACAUUUUCACAGUUCAUUUUGUAGUGAUUUUUAAUUUCACGGUCAUUUAGCUCUCUAAACAAUUAGGUAAAUGACUGAAAACAGCAAAUGAUGUCAGAACAUGUUGGAAAUUGAUGUCGUCGCUUUGAAUGCUGCAUACUGAACACACAAGAAGUCCGGAGUUCAAAUAAGUUUAAAAAACAUUGAAGUGCCCAUGUAACAGAUGAUUUCUCGUCCGAAACCCUGAUACUUCGAAAGAGAUUGUCCAGUUUGUACAUGAAGUGCGUCCAGUUUUUGCCGUGACCCUGUCUACUCUUUCGCACAUGCUAUGCGGGUGAAAUGAUGAUACCAUGCCAAGUUUCAACAUUUUCACAGUUCAUUUUGUAGUGAUUUUUAAUUUCACGGUCAUUUAGCCCUCUAAACAAUUAGGUAAAUGACUGAAAAACAGUGAAUGAUGUCAGAACAUGUUGGAAAUUGAUGAUGUUGCUUUAAAUGCUUCAUACUGAACACAAAAUAAGUCCGGAGUUCAAAUAAGUUUAAAAAACAUUGAACUGCUCGUGUAACCGAUGAGUUCUCAUCCGAAACCCUGAUACUCCGAAAGAGAUUGUCCAGUUUGUAUACGAAGUGCGUCUAGUUUUUACCGUGACCCUCUCUACUCUUUCGCACAUGCUAUGCGGGUGAAAUGAUGAUACCAUGCCAAGUUUCAACAUUUUCACAGUUCAUUUUGUAGUGAUUUUCAAUUUCAUGGUCAUUAGCUCUCUAAACAAUUAGGUAAAUGACUGAAAACAGCAAAUGAUGUUAGAACAUGUUGGAAAUUGAUGACGUCACUUUAAAUGCUGCAUGCUGAACACACAAGAAGUCCGGAGUUCAAAUAAGUUUAAAAAACAUUGAAGUNNNNNNNNNNNNNNNNNNNNNNNNNNNNNNNNNNNNNNNNNNNNNNNNNNNNNNNNNNNNNNNNNNNNNNNNNNNNNNNNNNNNNNNNNNNNNNNNNNNNNNNNNNNNNNNNNNNNNNNNNNNNNNNNNNNNNNNNNNNNNNNNNNNNNNNNNNNNNNNNNNNNNNNNNNNNNNNNNNNNNNNNNNNNNNNNNNNNNNNNNNNNNNNNNNNNNNNNNNNNNNNNNNNNNNNNNNNNNNNNNNNNNNNNNNNNNNNNNNNNNNNNNNNNNNNNNNNNNNNNNNNNNNNNNNNNNNNNNNNNNNNNNNNNNNNNNNNNNNNNNNNNNNNNNNNNNNNNNNNNNNNNNNNNNNNNNNNNNNNNNNNNNNNNNNNNNNNNNNNNNNNNNNNNNNNNNNNNNNNNNNNNNNNNNNNNNNNNNNNNNNNNNNNNNNNNNNNNNNNNNNNNNNNNNNNNNNNNNNNNNNNNNNNNNNNNNNNNNNNNNNNNNNNNNNNNNNNNNNNNNNNNNNNNNNNNNNNNNNNNNNNNNNNNNNNNNNNNNNNNNNNNNNNNNNNNNNNNNNNNNNNNNNNNNNNNNNNNNNNNNNNNNNNNNNNNNNNNNNNNNNNNNNNNNNNNNNNNNNNNNNNNNNNNNNNNNNNNNNNNNNNNNNNNNNNNNNNNNNNNNNNNNNNNNNNNNNNNNNNNNNNNNNNNNNNNNNNNNNNNNNNNNNNNNNNNNNNNNNNNNNNNNNNNNNNNNNNNNNNNNNNNNNNNNNNNNNNNNNNNNNNNNNNNNNNNNNNNNNNNNNNNNNNCUAUGCCAAGUUUCAACAUUUUCACAGUUCAUUUUUUUGUGAUUUUCUAUUUCACGGUCAUUUAGCUCUCUAAACAAUUAGGUAAAUGACUGAAAAAUAGCAAAUGAUGUCAGAACAUGUUGGAAAUUGAUGACGUCGCUUUGAAUGCUGCAUACUGAACACACAAGAAGUCCGGAGUUCAAAUAAGUUUAAAAUACAUUUAAGUGCCCAUGUAACAGAUGAGUUCUCGUCCGAAACCCUGAUACUUCGAAAGAGAUUGUCCAGUUUGUACACGAAGUGCGUCCAGUUUUUGCCGUGACCCUCUCUACUCUUCCGCACAUGCUAUGCGGGUGAAAUGAUGAUACCAUGCCAAGUUUCAACAUUCUCACAGUUCAUUUUGUAGUGAUUUUCAAUUUCAUGGUCAUUUAGCUCUCUAAACAAUUAGGUAAAUGACUGAAAACAGCAAAUGAUGUCAGAACAUGUUGGAAAUUGAUGACGUCGCUUUGAAUGCUACAUACUGAACACACAAGAAGUCCGGAGUUCAAAUAAGUUUUUAAAAAUAAAAAAGAGGUGCAAUGCUGGUUAAUUUGCUUCAAGCCUUUCGGAAUAGUGUAGACUGCAUUGCACAUAGCUCAGUGCAAUCUAUGCUAUUCCGAAAGGCUUGAAGCUAAUCAACCUACAGGUGAGCAUUGCGCCUCUUCGUCAUUGUCUCUGCACUCACGGCUUAUAAACCGCUCAUACUGCCUCUCCCUUGGCGAGGUUGGACUAAAAAUCAGCUUACUAAGAAACUCGAGUACCGGUUCAUGCCAUGAACCGGUACUAAAGGUCUUCGUGGGGCCCCAGCCUGACCACAGCCGCAUUAGUACCGGUUCGUGGCAUGAACCGGUACUAAAGGUUGCCCACGAACCAGUACUAAUGAUGUCCGCCCGCCUAGCCGUUGGAACCGGCACUAAUGGUCACAUUAGUGCCGGCUCAAAUUCAAACCGGCACUAAUGUGCUUCACAUUUGACCCUUUUUCUACUAGUGGUCUUGCAGCAUUAGAAGAGUGCAGAUUAGUAUCAUAUUUCAAUUAACAAGCAUGUUGUAGCAAAGCCUAGAGAUCCUUCCCUGCGAGAAAAUUAUCCCGGAUCUUACAUUAAUUUAAUAAGUAUCCAGUUCCGGUAGUAGUAGAUCGGGAUACAACACUGAGCGUCCUGUUACCGUGGACACGGCUAUUCGAAUAGAUUACUUCCCUGCAGGGGUGCACUACUGUUACCCAACACACUCGGUUACAUUUGGCCGGACACACUUGCUGGGUAAUACCCGGCCUCGGGUAAUUGACACGAAGCAGCGUCCUACCUAGGCUCAGCAGAGAGGUCAUCACGUCGGUCUAAAUCCUAAGUGCAAAGGGUUCUUGGGCUAUCGCCCUUUGCACUCGUGCACGUUGCGAGGCUGGUCGGGGCCCAAGCGCGACUGUGGAAGCACCACAGACGUAUCCGGCUCACCCCAACAAUCAGGCCGCAUCUCUGAAUUGUGACGUCUGAAGAGCUUUCAGAGAAACGUACAACAUAGAGGGUCCCAUAACCAUUAUCCCACGUACUGGUAGUGCGUAUAGGCCAAUGGCCAACUCAGAUCAAAUACCCAAAUCCGUUAGGCGUGUUUAGUAACUCGCGGCAACGAACAAGAUCCCUGUCGUGCCGCCAUAAUUCCUCUCGCAGGUGCUCUCCUGGCAAGCUCGACUUCAUAUUUUCCCCGCGGGUACCCCUCGUGGUCGACCCGCCAGUAACAGAGGUCGAAGUAACUGUGUGUCCAAGUAUCGAGAAGGAAUCCGAGGAAUCACCCUCGAUGGGUUCCCGCUCGAGGAAUUGCACGACGGAAGCUUAUCAGAGGUGAUGCAAGAGGAAUCACCCUCGAUAACUCACCACCGUAUAGCUAUUCUACAGAAUCAUCAUUGGAGUGAGAUACGAGGUAUCACACUCGGCACUCGAUGCCAGCUCGGCAGAGUCGAAUAACUUAGGGGGGUGUGGUGAUGUGCUGAUCUCAGCCCGUUCGAUCACAAGAUCGGGGCUCUGGAACUAAAGCGGGGCAACUACAGCAAGGAAGAGGGGCCACAGAUGGUUUACCAUCCAACCUAUACUAAGCAGUUUGGAUACCAGGCAGGUAUCAAUAACAGUUUACAAGGGCAGGCUAUGCAUCUGAAUAGGAUAAUUCAAAGCAGUAACAAUUUCUAAUGCAAGCAGGAGGGAGAAGGAAUAGGCGAUAUAGACAUGCGUCAAGGGGGUUUGCUUGCCUGGAAGCUCUGCUGAGAGAGGCUAAUCGUCAAUGGGCUGCUCGUCUGGAGCGUAGUCGUACUCUGUUGCGUCGGCUUCGGUCUUGGCGGCUAUCGGGAGAGAAGGAGGGGGUUAAACAAUAAAUUCAUGGCAAAAAUGCAAACAAUAUGCAUGGCAUGCCUAAAUGAUAUGUAGAUGAGCUUCACUGCCUAACUAAAUGAUUUAGUUAAUUUAGGAAUUUAUUUGGAUUUAUUUUAUUAAAGUUGGGCACUAUUUAUUUAUCAAAUCCGGGUAAAAAGUUCCAUGUUCACCUAGAUACGAGUGAUGGGCAAGCAUUUUGAUUACAUAUUCAGAUUCUUCAUAUUUUUCUGAUUAUUUUACAUAUAUAAUUUAUUUUCAUCUCACUUACAGUUUAAAAGAUAUGAUUUUUCAAAGUUUUAAUAAUAUUCUUGAAUUACGGAUUUAUUUUAAUUAGAAAAUCAUUUAAAUAAUAAAUGCUAUGGGUACCCAGUAUUGUACCCAGCCAACACACAGGGGCUGACUCGUGGGCCCUUUGACUGGUCAACAGAUCCAAUCAGCCACCAGUCAGCAGUGGCUGACAGGUGGGUCCCAGUGCUGACUCAGCACACACAGUCAACAAUCCUCAUUCGUUUGAAUAGUAAUGUGGGCCCCACAUGUCAGUAGUUAAUUUAAUUAAACCGUUUUAUUUAGCUCUAAUUAACCAGCGCGGGGCCCAAGAUCAGCGAUUGUUAGGGAGUUAGUUAACCACUAAUGACCCUGACGGGUGGGACCCGCAGGGUUUAAACGAGGCACGCGCCGGCGACGAGGACAGACAUGGCGGCGGUGGCCGGAAAUCGGCAUCCGCUGACCAUUUGGACGGCGGAGGGCAUCUACCGAAAGCCCACGCCCGCGCGCAUCCGGAGGGAGGAGCGGGAGGUCGUGGGGUCGCCGGAGCUAAUGGCAGUGACGACGAGGGCGGCGGCCCGAAUAUGGGCGAGCUCGGAUUCGUGUUUACGGCGCGUGCGGGGGCAAAUUAAGGGGCUGACGGUGCUCUUCGGCGUGCGGCAAAGCGAACGAGCAACAGCGGGUGACCAUUGGGUCACCGCAAUGGCGCCGACGACGAGGUCUUGGCGGCAGCAGAACAUCGGCCGUGACGGGAUCGAGCCUACGGCUCCAAUCGGCGGGGAGGAAGAGGUGGGAAGGGGCAGUUGCUCACAUCAGUGAUGAGGAGCAGCUCGGGGAGGCCGGGGAGCUCGCGGUGGCGCAGAUCGGCGGUGAGGUCGUGCGGUGGCCGUGAGCGGAGAAGAGGUCAAAUGCGGCAUCGGCGUUGCUUCCCGAUCUCGAUCCAGUGUCGAGGGAGAAGACGUGGUCCACGCCGGAGCUCCUGGACUGGUCAGAGCGACGAAUGGAUGCGGAUGGCCGUGGCUAUGGCGAACGGCGGCGAGGGUGGCGCUCGGGCAUUCACCCAAAUCGAGAAGAGGGGCGAUGGAGAGGGGAUGUGGGCGGGCUAGGGUUAGCAGGAGGGUUUGGGGUGGUCUUUGUAGAUGACCAGGGCGACAAAGGAGGCGCCAGUGUCGCCGAUCGCACGGCUCUGGCGACGGUGAUGGCGUCUGGAGGCGACGCGAGGGGGAGGAAGACGAUGGCGGGCGUGGGUUGGGCUGAAAAGGCCACUGUAGCACUGGGCCAGUAAGUGCAAGUGGUCUUUUUCGUUUUCCCUUUUGUUUUCUUUCUAUUUAUUCUCUUAUUCGGUUCUGCAAAUUGUUUGACUAACAAAUUACUUUUGUAAAAUAAAAGUGUUGUUCAAUUAAAUACUAGAUAAUAUUUAACACUACCAGAAAUUGGUUUGGUAAAAUAAUUAUUUCAUUUGAAUUUCUAUUAAUUAAAAUGGUAUUAAAAUACUACUGUUUGCUACUGUUUGAGGUUGGUAGAGUCAUUUAACUAAUCCCACAAUUGUUGAUUAUAAUUUUAUAAUUUCCUUUGAAUUAUUUGCACUGUAAUGAACAUUUUUCCAUUAGUGUUUGAGCAACUUGAUAUUCCACUUUAAAUUUGAAUUGCAAUUUGAAUAGGAAUUUGAAAUGAGAUAUGAUGCAAUGAUGAUCAAGCACUGUUAAUCAUGCUGACUUGGCACUAUCACAAGGUGAUUAUUGUAGCAUACUGACAUGGGGUGUUACAAUUCUCCUCCUCUAUCAAGAAUUCUCGUCCCGAGAAUUAAGAGGUAGGCUGGAAGAAAGAGGGGUAUUCUUCGCGAAGAUGAUCCUCGCGUUCCCCAGUGGCUUCAUCUUCAGAAUGAUUCAACCACUGAACUUUGAGGAACUUGAUCGACUUCUGACGAGUUCUGCGCUCAGCUUGAUCAAGGAUGCAGAUGGGAAAUUCUGGAUAAGACAGAUCUUCUCGCAAUUCGAGCAUUUCAUGAUCCACUGCUCGGAUAGGAUCCUUAAAACUGAGUCGGAGUUGUGAUACAUGAAAGACAUCAUGCACUUGAGAGAGGUUUGGCGGCAACUGCAAUUGAUAUGCCACUUCUCCUCGACGGGCGAGAAUACGGAACGAGCCGAUGUAGCGAGGAGCUAACUUGCCCUUGAUUCCGAACCGAUGAGUACCUUUCAAAGGAGUGACACGAAGGUAAGCUUGCUCGCCAGGCUGAUAGACCAUUACCUUGUGCUUUCGGUCAUAGUUGCUCUUCUGACGAGAUUGAGCAGCUUGCAAAUGUUUCCGGACAAUGCGGACUUGUUCUUCAGCUUGUUGAAUAUUGUCCGAACCAAAGAGUGAACGUUCCCCAGUUUCUGACCAAUUCAGAGGGGUCUGACACUUACGUCCAUAUAGAACUUCAAAGGGUGCCAUCUUCAGGCUACCUUGGUAGCUAUUGUUGUAAGAGAAUUCGGCAUACGGGAGAGAUUCCUCCCAUUUCUUACCGAAUGAGAUGAUGCAAGCUCGAAGCAUAUCUUCAAGCACUUGGUUGACUCUUUCGACUUGACCCUGAGACUGAGGGUGAAAAGUGGUGUUAAAGGACAGAUGAGUUCCCAUAGCUUCCUGGAAACUAUUCCAGAAUCUUGAGGUGAAGAGGCUACCACGAUCCGAACUGAUUUCCAACGGAACACCGUGGAGUGACACAAUUCUGGAAACAUACAAGUCUGCUAACUGACUAGCAGUGAUUGUUUCCUUGACUGGCAGAAAGUGGGCAACCUUGGAGAACUGAUCAAUGACGACAAAGAUAGCAUCAUGACCCUUCUGUGAUCUGGGAAAACCAGUAAUGAAAUCCAUUUGGACUUUGUCCCAUUUCCAUUCAGGAAUAGCAAGUGGCUGCAGAGUUCGAGUAGGCCUUUGAUGUUCUACCUUGAUGCGACAACAAACGUCACACUCAGCAACAUAGUGAGCAAUGUCCUGCUUCAUACCAGGACACCGGUAUCGCUGACGAAUGUCCUGGUACAUCUUGGUGCUACCGGGGUGAAUAGACAAAGGUGUGUUGUGGGCUUCUUUCAUGACAUCCGAGCGCGAGUCCACAUUUUUCUUUGUGGGGACCACUAGGCGGCCUUUGAAGAAUAGGGCACCUUCAUUAUCAACAUGGUAAAACGAAGAGCCUCCUGUGGAGAGAUAUUUCUUAAUUUUUUCGACUUCAGAGUCAUAGUUCUGUCUUGUCUUUAUGUUGCAUUUGAGGUCCGCUUCAAUAACCAAGGUAUUGAGAUGACCCUGUGGAACAAUGUGAAGAUUCAACUUGUGAAGUUCUUCAUACAACAUAGGUUGUGUUUCCUGAACCAUGAGGUUGUUGCAAUAGGCCUUGCGACUCAAAGCAUCGGCCAUUACAUUAGCCUUGCCAGGGCUGUAAGAAAUAUUCAUGUCAUAAUCGGCUAUUUUCUCGAGCCAUCUCUGUUGACGAAGGUUCAGGUCCGGUUGGGUAUACAGACACUUUAGACUUUGGUGGUCGGUGUAUAUCUCGCAACGAUUACCAAGAGGGUAAUGUUGCCACAGUUUCAGAGCAUAAAUUACUGCAACAAGCUCGAGAUCAUGUACUGGAUAAUUUUCCUCAUGAGGACACAAUUGUCACGAGGCAUAAGCAAUUACCUUGCGCUCUUGCAUGAGGACACAACCUAAUCCUUGACGAGAUGCAUCACAGUAAAUCAUGAAGUCUUUGCGAGAAUCAGGGGGAGCUAGCACUGGGGCAGAUGUCAACUUGUCUUUUAGCAUCUGGAAACGUCCCUGACAUUUGUCUGUCCACUCAAACUUAAUGCCUUUGUGAAGCAGAUCAGUCAGGGGCUUAGCAAUCUUGGAGAAAUUAUGAAUGAAAUGGCGGCAAUAACUAGCAAGUCCGAGGAAACUCCUUACUUGCUUGACAUUCUUUGGAGGAGGCCAGUCAAGAAUAGCCUGAACUCGUUCUGGGUUAACAGUAAUGCCAUCUUUGGAAAUCACAUGACCAAGAUAGGUCACCUCAGAUAACCAGAAUCCACACUUAGAAUACUUGGCAUAUAGCUGGUGCUCUCGAAGUUUCUCCAAUACAAGCCGAAGAUGUUCGGUGUGUUCUUCUUCAUUCUUGGAGUGUAUAAGGAUAUCAUCUAAUUAAACCACGAUGAAUUUAUCGAGGUAGUCCAUGAAGAUAUAGUUCAUCAAUCGAGAAAAGGUUGCUGGAGCAUUAGUCAAUCCGAAGGACAUGACGGUGUACUCAUAAGACCCAUAACGAGUAACGAAGGCGGUCUUCGGAAUAUCCGCCUUACGAACUCGGAUCUGAUGAUAACCCAACCUUAAGUCGAUUUUAGAGAACACAGAGGAUCCAGCAAGUUGGUCAUAGAGAUCAUUGAUCUGGGUGUGGCGCCCACCUGAAUACCACUGUAGACAAACGGUCACCAUACACACCAGCCCAGGAAAUCACUCUAGCAUGCGCUUUUACAACAGGUACCAUGAACACAGGCAUUACUGAAAUAUAUCAGUCUUACAUGAUAUAUUACAAGGGUGAUGGCAGCGAAAAAACUCUAUCUAAGGCAGCAGGGUCCUGGUGCGGCUCCAAUCCACAGGGAUCUGACUGGGUUACUCUUCUAGCCCGCGAGCACUCCGGCUCCUCGCUAGCGAACGUCGAAUCCUUAGGUGAACCUGGCCACAUUGAAGGCCGCUGAGUACUUUUGAAUGUACUCGCAAGCAAACCAAAUAACAUAUCCACCAAGCAAUGCAAUCCAUGGCAUUCAAGCAUGCAUUUGUUAUUAGAGCAAUAUUAUUUGCCAUGUUAUGGCAGAAAUGUCCAGCAAUAUUAAACAUCUAUUUAACAUUAAUUAUCUUAAGUGCUUAAAGUGUUUACUAUUACUGAUUACCAACUUACUCUCUUUUGGGUUGUCCCACAACCCUCGAAAUACUCAAGAUCCAUUGAGCACCUCCGAACACAAGACAAGUUCUUCCAUCAUUAUUAUCAAUAUUGUGGUUGAUCAUCCUAGAGAGGUCUAAACGGACUGUCCAAUACCAUGGAUGCGGCUAUUUGAAUAGAUUUUACACUCUGCAGAGGUUGUGCACUUUACCCACACCAUGGAGCUCCUGGCCUCGUACUCCCAUUCGGGUGGACCGGGGUUGCUCCAACAAAACCUGCCGGACCCGUGACUCCUCCAUCGUACCACUGACAAUCAUACCCUCCAAGGGUCAUGCGUUGGGUGGCCCAUGUGUCCUCCAGACACCUGCCAUCGUCGUGGCCAAACUAAACUAUCCCAAACGGGGACGGGUACCCAUAUAACUCAACUGGGCUCAAAGGAUUAUCGUCGUCUAGCUGAUCAGGGUAGCACACAUGCAUAACCCUCCCUCUUUGGUGGUAUCGAUAAGAGAGCACAAAGCCAGGCCAAGUCAAGGCCGUCCCAUACCGGCAAAUGUGGCUGCACGGAUAAGUCCGGAUAGGUGGCUCUUGAUCAACCAGCAGGUUUAAACUUUAACAAGUAUUUAACAAGCAUGGUUAUUAAGUCAUAUACUUUAUCAUUGCAAUAACAACAAUAAUGCAUGAUGAAAUGAUAACAACCUAUCUCCAUAUAAUGUCACACCGAGUCAUUGGUGAAACAACAUUUAAAUGGCAAGUCUAUCAUUUUGUAAGUUUGAGCUAUAGGCGCGAUCAUCCGAACCCUUACGUGAAACCGGCAAAUAAAUCGGUAGCCACCAGAACGGUCUUUACAACACAGACCUGGGACGUUAUCAGAAUAGCUCAACCCCAGCUCAAGACGGCCGAAAAGCAGCUCAAAACAUGAGAUGGUGUUGAUAAAAAGAAUGUAGUGGUUCCCUAAGACGGCCGGAAAGCAGCUCAGAGCAUAGGGCCACCACUACGAAAAGAAAUUCAACAGCUACCCGAGACGGUCGAAAAGCAGCUCAGAACAUGGGACAGUUGUUGAAAAGGGAAAUAUAAAAUCAGCAUCCACCCCGGAAGGCCGGAAACAGCAAAGAGCACAGGCGUGGUGCCGUCACUGAAGAAAGGCAAGCCAGGGUUCAUCGGAGUCACAUACAGCUCACUACUAUGCGCACGAGCACAAACAUAUUAAUCAAUUAAACACACAAGAAUAACAUAGAGCAAUGCUUUAGGGCAUAUAUCAUAUGGUCAGCUUGCCUGGGGGUGAAGAGAUACUCCGGGAGAAGUGCGAUCACUUUGCGGAAAAACUGCUGGAAAGGAUUCCCUCUCAAAGGGGCUGGAUAUAGGAGAGGGGUAAAAUGGUCAUUUUCAGAAAGUGUGAACAUGGUGAAAGUGAUGUCAACGGAUCGGGCUCGGAAAAAUAUGAACGUAGGCUUUGGAUUCUCCUCAAUCGGAGUUGUAGAUGAAAAGAUACGAGGGAUUGAAUUGGAGGGUCCUCUCUGUAAAUAAACUAUUUACUUUCGGGUCCCUGGCUGAUUUUCUGCCGAAAAAGAGAAAAACACACUGUGCGCUUGGGCCGCACUGUGCCGAAACCGGCCCAAAUUCUCGGCCACCGCCAGGCCGCUGAUGCCACUGCUCUACUGGGCCGGCCCCAACCGCCGCCACUUGCAAAAAAACGGGCGGAGGGAGGAACGUCGUCUUCCACCUCUCGCGCCCGAGCACAGUGGGCAUCGUCGGCGAAUGCCGGCGCCACAAGGCACCUCCGACGACGCCCCGCCUAUGUACGAGCUCGGCAAGGAGAGGCGCAUCCAAUGGUCGGUGGCACGGACGCCGGGGACCAUCGGAGCAGUGGCUACGCUGCCCGCGGCGGACGGCGAUUCGGGCGACAACGGGCUUGGCGCUACGGUGACAGAGAGGGAGGGGUGAGGUUCGAGAGGGCCUCACCGCGGUGGAGACGUUCCUCUGGUGAAGAAAGAAGGUAAGGAGGAGCUCUAGUUGGCUCGAAUUCGAGCGGGGACAGUGGCGGCUUUGGCGGACGUAGCGGCGCGAUGCAGAGCGGAUGGAGAGAGAGCUCAAAGUCUCGGGCUUGGGAGGGGUUCUGUGAGGGAGAGGAGGCGGCUGGAGUGGUGCGAGUGCUCGGGGAGGGGCUCGGCCGCGGCUAUUUAUUGCCGGCCGAGGGCGAGGCGAUGAGGACGGCCGCCGUGGCGUCCUUAGCCACGCGCUGGAGCUCCAGCGAGGUGGCACGCGAGGGGAGGUGCCAACCUGACGCUCACCAGAGGGAGAGGACAACUCGGGGAGGGAAGAAGCCAACGGAAAGGAAGACAACGGCGCUCACGGGCAAACAGUGUCGCGACGGCACUCGCCGUGGCGUGAGGAGGAAGGGAGAGGGGAGGAGAAGGGUCUAGGUAGGGGAAAGUGGACGCCUAGGAGACGACGGACAUGGCCGGACGAGCCGAAGCUGGUCGGAGGUGACCGCACGAAGCUGACAAAGUGCAGAGCGUCGUUUCCGCACGGCCGCUACAUGGUCACCAUGUGCAUAGCACGCUCUAGCACAUCCCUGCUCGUCACACCUUGUCAAUUAGUCACAUAACUGCUCAAAUAGGUAAGAUAGAUCACUAGAUGGACCAGGAAGGGUCUGGAGAGGUCGAGGGGCUUGGGGAGGAAGUUGUGGAGAAAUGAAUGAGAGUGGGGAUCUGAACCUUUGUCAAAAUAAAAUAUAGUAGGAAGGACUAGGUGCUGGAAAAUUUGGAGGCAUUUGGACCAGAUUUGCACACACUUCCUUUGUAAGGCACAAAUUGGUCCAGAAACUGGAACUUGAAGUUGUGCUCAAAUGGCUAAGUGAAAUGAGCUAGAUUUUGGUGCUGGGGAAUUAUUUGGGCAUGUGGAGAUACUGGAAAAUUUUCAGACCAAAUUGAUCUUCUAUAGUGUACUUCCUUCACAGAGAUGCAAUCUGGACAGAAACUUAGGAAAAUUGUUGUGGGGAAUUUGCUGUGGGGGAAAUUGCUAGAUGGAUUGGGCUGAUUUUUGGUAUCUAGUGGUUAUUUAUCAUUGUUAACCACCCUGAAAAGUUUCAGCCCAAAAAGAUCAAGGUAGUAAGCACUCCCUUUGCAAACUGGAAAUCUGAACAGAAUUUGCAAAUGGAUGUUGUGCUCAAAAUUUGAUCUAUGAAACUUGGGAUUUUGAUGGAAAUGGUGAAUAUAGGGAUAGGAGAAGCUCCACAGAUUAUUUGGAAUUUUUCCUGUCUAUAAAAAUGGUAGUUCCUUUAGAAAGUGCCCAAAUUGCAAUAUUGGCUUUAAAUAGGAAAAAGGCAAUUUCCCUAAUUUAAUUAUUGCCAAUAUUUUUAUGGGAGCUCGAUAUGAUCACAAAACAUAUCUCCACAAGUUUUCAUGAACUUUAGAGAUGGAUAGAUAUUUUCCUGGAUUUAAUUCCUUUAACUGGCGGAAAAAGGAAUUAAUUUUAAAUGAAAAAUAUUGCUAAUGACUUGGCAAUAUUUUUGCAUAUCCAGGGUUUAGAAAGAUAGGAGGAUCACUAGGAAAAGUUUGGGAGCCAACGAAUCAAAGGAAAAUGGGGUUCCUUUGUAACGGAAGGAAUUAGGGUUUCCCUUUCGGUAGAUCGGAGAGUAGGGUUUCGGAGGCAGAAUCCUGAGAAUAUAUCUUGGAUGGCAAGCUUGAAUCGGAGAGAAUUUCUGGUUGGAUAGGAAAGGCAAAACUAAAUGACCAUCUUCAUAUACCCAAGAGCAAGAGAAAAACCAAUAACAUUGAGAGAAAAAAAGACGGGAGUCAAAUCCCGUGAAGGAAAAAAAUCGAGGAGCGAAAACCAGGGUGUCACACCGGGGCAGUGGGUAUUUGUUUUGGAUUGUUGCUUGGUUAAUAGGCCGAUAGUCCUGGACCAAUUGGUUAGUCCCAUCCUUCUUCUUAACAAAGAGCGAAGGUGCUCCCCAAGUAGAGGAACUUGGACGAAUGAAUCCCUUUUUAAGUGACUUAUCGAUCUUCUCCUUAAGCUCAAGGAGUUCAUGCAGAGGCAUCUUAUCAGGACGUUUCGCAAUAGGACUAGUGCCAGGUUUCAGGUCGAUGACGAACUCAACAGCUCUUUCCGGGGGUAUUCCUGGAAGUUCUUUUGGAAAGACGUCGGUAAAAUCACGAACGACUGGAACGUUCUCGAUACCAUCAAGAGGUGAGGCAUUCAAAGCAUACAGAGCAUAAAUCCGAGCUUCGGCAUUCUGGAGAAUGCGGGCGGUGUAGUUCACUAUCUCGUCGAAGGGGUGGAGAAGUUGCACGACUUUGGUGGCACAAUUGAUUGAGGCAAUGUGAGCUUUCAAGUAAUCCAUUCCGAGGAUAAGGUCUAUGGUGGAAGACUUCAGAACAAUAGGGAAGGCAAGGAAUUCUAAUCCUUCAAUCUCGACGGUGAUUUUAGGUACCAUCAUGGAGGUUCGACAAUGGGACCCGAGAGUUUUAAUGAAUAACGGGCUAUGCAUCCUUUCAUGUUUUAUGCCAUGCAUGAAUGCAAAUUCUCCAGAAAUGAAUGAAUAUGAUGCUCCUGAAUCAAAUAGAAUAGAAGCGGGUACUGAGUUAACGAGAAGUGUACCCAUCACAGUAGCAGGUUGCUCCUGAACUUCUUCAAUGUCAAUAUUAUAAGCAUGCGCACGACCAUAAGCAGAAGACCCGGUAUUAUAGUUGCGGGUCUGGUUGUUGCCACGACCAUUUCCACGGCCAGCUGAGGGAAGUGCCAACUGAUUCUAACUCUGGCGGCAGUCUUUGGCACGGUGACCUGGUUUGCGGCACUUGAAGCACAUACCAUCUUCAGGACGAAGAUCAGCAUUGGGUCGAGGAGCUUUAUCUCUCGGCUGCCUCGGUGGUGGAGGAGGCAGACGGGGUGCAACAUAGGAAGGUCUUGGUGCAAGGGCAGGUGGGCGAAACACAUUGUUGGGAAUCCAGACUCGAUGCUUCUGGGCUGAGCCCGAAGAUGAGCCAACGUCACGAUAGCGCUUCUGCGACUCCUUGUGCUUCAUCUGGGCGGUCGCAAUCCGGAUAGCUUUGUUCACCAGGGUGGCAAAGUCAUCAAAGUCCUGAGCAGCAAGGGCAAGCUCCAAAUCCGGGUGGAGUCCAUUACGGAACUUCUCUUGUCUACGAGCAUCUAUGGCGAUGUCUUCUUCUGCAUAGCGGGAUAGGUUAAGAAACUUCCACUGAUAAGCUUUGAUAGUCUUGUUGCCCUGGGUAAGGUUACGAAACUCAGUCUUCUUCCGGUCCAUGAUUCCUUGAGGAAUAUAGAGGGCACAGAAAGCAGUACGAAACUGGGCCCAGGUAACAACGGUUCCCUCAGGCAGCGAAUGCUUAUGGGUGUCCCACCAUUGAGCAGCGGGUCCCUUCAAGAAGAAGGCCGUGAAGGUGACAAAGUUGGCAGAGGCGACAUUGGCAGACUCCAUCUCGUGAGUGAUGCCACGAAGCCAGUCAUUGACAUCCAGUGGCUGUUCAGAGUUGCGGAAUUGAGUGGGGCUGAGACGCAUAAAUUCCGACAGAGUUAUUGAAGCAGGGUUCUGGUUCUGAUUGUUCAGGUGCGGGAACUGAGCUAUAAUUCCAAACUGACGGUUGAGCUCUAAUUGUUGCAUCAUAGCUGCCAUAUAGUCUGGCGGUGGUGGGUGUUCGGCAGCGCGGCCACGACCACGACCACGAGCACCUAGACUAACCAUCCUGCUAAAAUUUCAACAGGGGGUAGUUUAGUAAAAGCAAAUGCAAGUGUUUAGCGACACGCAAGAGGUAACACGACAAUGAAUAAGUAGUGUAACAGAUACAUAACAGUAGUCAAUUAAGACAUACAGAUCCAUACAUAGAGUCGGUUACACGCAGACAGCAUAACGGCGUAAAUUUAAAAACUAGGCGGCGCGCGGGCACGCGGUAAGGAAGUACACAACGAGAUAUAGCAAAGGCUAUAUCAACAUCGGGGAAAGCCACUGAAAUGGGGUAACUGCAAGUGCGGACGAUGAAUGUCCGUCGUAGGAAAAUCCUGCUCUCCAUGUGCACUCUGAUGCAGAACCCGGACUCGAACUGGAAGAAGAGGUCCACGUGCAGGUGUGUGACCUCCAACGGUAGGCCAAUCAAUGCCAGCCGGCAUCUGAGUCCUGCGUGGGUAAAGAAUGUACUACGGGUGUCUCCCUGCAUGAAAAGCUGGUAGCAACUGUGUCAUAGCAUCAUAGAGACGUGCUCGAGUGGCAAAUAGCUCGACGGCGAGAGCCCGGACGGUACGAUCCAGAUCCUGAGUGCACUGAAUCAAAACAUGCGGGUCUUAUCGAUGAUGCUCGUACGGGGACAGAUAGUUGUGUAGUAUCCGGUAGCAUCUUCAGCAGGGGCAUACGGAAUGUAUCGAAACUCAGAGGUACCCAAGCUAUCAUGCUCGCCACGGAGUCGCGCGACAGCAGAAUAGGCAGCAUCAUGAACUGCCAUCUCAAUCGUCACACCGUACCGUGGAACAGGUGCAGCUCAGUGUCUGAGUCAUCUCGCUGACCAUAGAUACGAACAUCAGCAUGGUACUGCUCCUGGUUGAACUCGUGGUAAUCCUCGUAGACCAUGUACUCGGGGUACCAGCGGUAGCCUAGUCUGGUCAGGAGGACGAUCAGGACAGCUAGAAAAUCAGGUGUAUCCCGAGCCCAAGUGAGAAGCACAAGCUGCAUCGCAGGGCGCGGCGGAAACAGACAAUCCAUCUGAAACAGAGGAAAUUCGGAAUUGUCACAUGACCAUGAGAAGUAUAAUAUAUCUUGGAGAGUAAAUGUUAAACAAACCAAUGGAAAGGAAAAUGAUUAUCAGACUAAUCAGAUCAAUGAUAAGGAACAAGCACAGAUAUCCAGCUCUCCGGGUAGAAGUGAUUACGAGAGCCUAGUGUCGUAGUUAGUAAAAUCAUUUAACCCGAAAAGAAGAGAGUUCAGAGUCCCAGAGUAUAGAAGAGGAAUAAAAGAUUCUAAUACCACCCAGUUGGCGACGUGGGCCCAUUAGCCACAUAGUCAUGUUAGUAAAAUAGUUUUCGGAAAGACUAGACUCAACUUCGGCCAAGGAAUUGGAAGGGGCUUCCUACAGGCAGUCGGCUCUGAUACCAACUUGUGACGCCCCCGACUUAAUCAUGCACUAAUCAUAUACGCAAAUAUGCACGGUCAAGCACAGGGACUCACGGGAAGAUAGCACAACACAACUAUAAACUCAAAUUUAAACAUAAAUCCACAUAUUACAAACUAGGGGUCACGAGGACCCGAAUACAUAAGUCAUACACACAAAUGAUAUCUGAGUACAGACAUAGUUAGUCAAAUUUUGCCUUAAGAAGGCCAGCACAAACAACAACUCUAGAUCAAAAAGGCGAAGGCCUCCUGCCUGGGGCCUCCGAUCCUACUCCUGGUCGGAUGGAUUAAUCUAGUAGUACGUGCCGUCGGGACCCUCCUGGUAGUAGGCUCCUGUGGUGGCAUCUGACUCCUGGGCUCCAUCGUUUGAAGUCAACAUAUGGGUAUGGGGAAAAGGGGAAGCAAAGCAACCGUGAGUACUUAUCGGAAGUACUCGCAAGACUUACAUCAAAACUAUGCUAUGUAUGCAUUGUUAUCAGGUGAAAAGCCUAUAUCUGUGGACUAUAUAGCAGCAAAGCCAGAAUAGAGAGAAAAAGCCUAGCCUAUCGAAGACUAGCAUCUUCAUUGUCUUGAAGCAUUAGAAGAGUGCAGAUUAGUAUCAUAUUUCAAUUAACAAGCAUGUUGUAGCAAAGCCUAGAGAUCCUUCCUUGACUCCCUGCGAGAAAAUGAUCCCGGAGCUUACAUUAAUUUAAUAAGUAUCCAGUUCCGGUAGUAGUAGAUCGGGAUACAACACUGAGCGUCAUGUUACCAUGGACACGGCUAUUCAAAUAGAUUACUUCCCUACAGGGGUGCACUACUGUUACCCAACACGCUCGAUUAUAUUUGGCCGGACACACCUGCUGGGUAAUACCCGGCCUUGGGUAAUUGACACGAAGCAGCGUCCUACCUAGGCUCAGCAGAGAGGUCAGCACGCCGGUCUAAAUCCUAAGUGCAAAGGGGUCUUGGACCAUCGCCCUUUGCACUCUUGCAUGUUGCGAGGCUGGUCGGGGCCCAAGCGCGACUAUGGAAGCACCACAGACGUAUCCAACUCACCCCAACAAUCAGGCCGCAUCUCUGAACUGUGACGUAUGAAGAGCUUUCGGAGAAACGUACAACGUAGAAGGUCCCAUAACCAUUAUCCCACGUACUAGUAGUGCGUAUAGGCCAGUGGCCAACUCAGAUCAAAUACCCAAAUCCGUUAGGCGUAUUUAGUAACUCGCGGCAACGAACAUGAUUCCUGUCGUUCCGCCAUAAUUCCUCUCCCGAGUGCUCUCCUAGCAAGCCCGACUUCAUAUUUUCCCCGUGGGUACCCCUCGGGGUCGACCCGCCAGUUACAGAGGUCGAAGUAACUGUGUGUCCAAGUAUCGAGAAGGAAUCCGAGGAAUCACCCUCGAUGGGUUCCCGCUCGAGGAAUUGCACGACAGAAGCUUAUCGAAGGUGAUGUAAGAGGAAUCACCCUCGCUAACUCACCACUGUAUAGCUAUUCUACAGAAUCAUCAUCGGAGUGAGAUACGAGGUAUCACCCUCGGCACUCGAUGCCAGCUCUGCAGAGUCGAACAACUUAGGGGGGUGUGUGGUGAUGUGCUGAUCUCAGCCCGUUCGAUCACAAGAUCGGGGCUACGGAACUAAAGCGGGGCAACUACAACAAGGAAGAAGGGCCACAGAUGGUUUACCAUCCAACCUAUACUAAGCAAUUUGGAUAUCAGGCAGGUAUCAAUAACAGUUUACAAGGGCAGGCUAUGCAUCAGAAUAGGAUAAUUCAAAGCAGUAACAAUUUAGGAAUUUAUUUGGAUUUAUUUUAUUAAAGUUGGGCACUAUUUAUUUAUCGAAUCCGGGGAAAAAGUUCCAUGUUCGCUUAGAUAGGAGUGAUGGUCAAGCAUUUUGAUUACAUAUUCAGAUUUUUCAUAUUUUUUUGAUCAUUUUACGUAUAUAAAUUAUUUUCAUCUGAGUUACGGUAUAAAAGAUAUGAUUUUUCAAAGUUUUAAUAAUAUUAUGGAAUUACAGAUUUAUUUUAAUUCGAAAAUCAUUUAAAUAAUAAAUGCUAUGGGUACCCAGUAUUGUACCCAGCCAGCACACACAGGGGCUGACUGGUGGGCCCUUUGACUGGUCAACAGAUCCAGUCAGCCACCAGUCAGCAGUGGCUGACAGGUGAGUACCAGUGUUGACUCAGCACACACAGUCAGCAGUCCUCAUCCGUUUGAACAGUAAUGUGGGCCCCACAUGUCAGUAGUUAAUUUAAUUAAACCAUUUUAUUUAGCUCUAAUUAACCAGCAUGGGGCCCAGCGUCAGUGAGUGUUAGGGAGUUAGUUAACCACUAAAUACCCUGACGGGUGGUACCCGCAGGGUUUAAACGACGCGCGCGCUGGCGACGAGGCCAGACGCGGCGGCGGUGGCCGGAAAUCGGCAUCCGGUGACCAUUUGGACGGCGGAGGGCAUCGACCAGAAGCCCACGCCCGCGUGCAUCCGGAGAAAGGAGCGAGAGGUCGCGGGGUCGCCGGAGCUAACGGCAGCGACGACGAGGGCGGCGGCCAGAAUACAGGCGAGCUCGGACUCGUGUUUACGGCGUGUGCGGGGCAAAUUAAGGGGCUGGCGGUGCUCUUCGGCGUGCGGCGAAGCGAACGAGCAACAACGGGUGACCAUUGGGUCACCGCAAUGGCGACGACGACGAGGUCUUGGCGGCAGCAGAACGUCGGCCGUGACGGGAUCGAGCCUACGGCUCGAAUCAACGGGGAGGAAGAGGUGGGAAGGGGCAGUUGCUCACAUCGGAGAUGAGGAGCAGCUCGGGGAGGCCGGGGAGCUCGCGGUGGCGCAGAUCGGCGGUGAGGUCGUGCGGUGGCCAUGGGCGGAGAAGAGGUCAAAUGCGGCGUCGGCGUUGCUUCUCAAUCCCAAUCUAGUGUCGAGGGAGAAGAGGUGGUCCACGCCGGAGCUCCUGGACUAGUCGGAGCGACGAAUGGGUGCGGAUGUCGUGGCUAUGGCGAACGGCGGCGAGGGUGGCGCUCGGGCAUUCACCCAAAUUGAGAAGAGGGGCGAUGGAGAGGGGAUGCGGGUGGGCUAGGGUUAGCAGGAGGGUUCGGGGUGGUCUUUGUAGAUGACCAGGGCUUCACGGGAGGCGCCAGUGUCGCCCAUCGCGCGGUUCUGGCAACGAUGAUGGCGUCUGGAGGCGACACGAGGGGGAGGGAGACGAUGGAGGGCGUGGGCUGGGCUGAAAAGGCCACUGUAGCACUGGGCCAGUAAGUGCACAGUGGUGUUUUUCGUUUUCCCUUUUAUUUUCUUUCUGUUUUAUUCUCUUAUUCGGUUCUGCAAAUUGUUUGACUAACAAAUUACUUUUGUAAAAUACAAGUGUUGUUCAAUUAAAUACUAGGUAAUAUUUAACACUGCCAGAAAUUGGUUUGGUAAAAUAAUGAUUUCAUUUGAAUUUCUAUUAAUUAAAAUGGUAUUAAAAUGCUAAUGUUUGCUACUGUUUGAGGUUGAUAGAGUCGUUUAACUAAUCCCACAAUUUUUGAUUAUAAUUUUACAAUUGCCUUUGGAUUAUUUGCACUGUAAUGAAUAUUUUUUCAUCAGUGUUUGAGCAACUUGAUAUUCCACUUUAAAUUUGAAUUGCGAUUUGAAUGGGAAUUUGAAAUGAGAUAUGAUGCAAUGAUGACCAAGCAUAGUUAAUCAUGCUGACUUGGCACUAUCCCAAGGUGAUUACUGUAGCAUAAUGACAUGGGGUGUUACAGUCCGAGGCCAGAUCCUAUUGGGCGCCUUAAGCGCCGGAUUUAGGGAAAUCCCCUAACCGGCGCACACACCCCUCUCCGCCUUGGGCCAGCCCACACUCACUUUUUUCCUAUUCUAUUAAAGUUCAAAAAAGAUGCGCCCAACUAGUUUCAAACUCGAGAUCUCUAGGUAACGUACAGAGAGAGGCAACCAACAGACUACGAUAGCAAUAGUCAUGACUUUAGGCAUGGCUUUAUUCUUAGUUAAAAACGCAGUGGUUUUUCUUUUUUUUCCUUAUUUGUUUUGGCCGGUUUUUCUUCUUUUUUCUCUUUCUCUUUCUUUUUCCGUUUCUUUUCUUUUUAGAAAUCAAGAAAGCUAACUUCCAGUCGACUGGAAGUUAGCGAUAGAUUCAAAUGAUUCUGGAGCCGCUCGAUCCGCUUCUGCUCUCGCGCGAUCCCUUCCCGAUUUCCUCGCACCCAGAAUCUUCUCCUGUGAUUUUUUCAAAUUCAAUGAACUUUAUUUAGAUUGGAUGACCUUUUCACAGAAUCGAUGAACUUUUUUCAAAUACGAUGAACUCUUUUGAAAAAGAUGGAUGAACUUUUUUAAAAUUUGAUGAACUUUUUCCAAAUCGAUGAGUUUUCUUUCAAAUUCGAUGAACUUUUUUAAAACAUCAAUGAACUUUUUUUUAAAAUUCAUAAGAUUUUUUUGAAAUUUGAUGAACUCUUUUUGUUUAAAAAAAUCAACUUUUCCAAAUUGUUUUCAAAUAAUUCACAAAUCUAAUAAAUAGAGCGCAUACAUUGGUUCUUAAAACUUUCGCGGCCAUUGUAGUCGUGGCGUUUACCGGCUGUAGUGGUUAAGAAAACUAUUCUUGUGUUGUGCCUGCAAGGCGCAAGUUCCAGUCCUUGUAGCCAUACUUUUUUGCGUGAUUUUUUCGCGAGGCAUUUUUCCUUCUACUGUGCGUGGUGGGCCGGCCAUGUGGUGCGGCGCGUGGGCGCCAGCUACCUAUUCGAGCGCUUAAGGCGCCGACAGGAGCUCUCCAAAUUCUCCAAAAGAGUGUGUCGCGCGUGUGUAUGAGUUGGAGUUGCAUGCUAGUUAGCUACAUAGCCCCCGAAGUGGCGGCAUGGUCAGGCGAGCUGUGGACGUGCCUUUUUUGUUUUUUAAUAUUAGCAUCUAAAUUUUGGUCAUAUGCCACAUGAGAGGUAAAAAGGUCUUUUCAUGCGACAUUUAACACCGUUAAGGCUUAAAAUUAACGAAAGUGUUAUAAAGGGCAUAAAAUUUAGAAUAGGUGUUAAAUAAGGAAGAAAAACAUUUUCAAUGUCAAAUAGGAAAGAAAAUUUAAGACAAUGUUAAAUAAGGAAUUCUCUCAAAACUAUUUGUAGUUUGAUCGCUCGGUCAAAAGAUAUUUUUAUUUAGAAUUUGAAUCUCAUUAAAAAAAUACAUAACCUACCACACCUUCGAUCAUCUGGAAGAAAUCCACCCAAACUCUGAUGAUUUUGAUAAUGAAAUCAUACCAUUCCAUCGACAAGAAAACACACAUAAUAUCAUUCCAAAAAAACACAUAAUAUGAUCAAAAUUUAAUGUUAUAAUACACGGGUUUGUUAGCUUUUAUCUAGAAGAGUGUUAACUAUCUCGCUCAGCUCCUCGGUCGAAUCCUAUAUUAUUCUUAAAAAGUCUAUCCAAAUUUUCUCAAUAUAGAAAGUGUCCAUGUCAACAUCCCCAUUAAGUCAUGCAUUUAAGUGUUCUCUUCCACUAAGUCAUGCAUUUAAGUCUACCACAUAAGAGCAUCAUUCACAAUAUAGCCGGUUGAUGGCUAUAACAUGUUGCCAUGUCAUAUAUAGCCAAUGUAAUAGCCAACAUGUAUAGUAGUGGGCUACAAGGAAGUAGUACUUUUUUACCACAUGGCCCUCCAUACACUCUCACAUAGUUUCUUGGAGCCCGUGCUACAGCCGGCUGUAAAUCUAUAACCCGCUUCUCCUCUCUCUCAUCUUUUCUCUCAUCCAACUCAACAAAGGUAUAAUAUUUAAAGUCUUACAGCCUGCCUAGGUCACCUUAUUAUACUUGCUCUAAGCAAGCCAUGCAUUUAACUUGUAAAUUAUAUUAUUAUUUUACAUUAGUCUAUGCAUGUAGCACUGUCACAUCAUACAUACAUGUUAGUCGUCCUUCACAUUUUUGUUCGAAAUGACAUUUUUUUUGCAAUUAUUUUUUAUUUCUAGACAUAUGUUUUAUUGAUUUUCAAGACUAUAUUUUUUAUUAGAUUUAAUUAUUUUAGCAACUAUUUAUGCAUUUCUUUAACAAAGUUUCCGCAGCAACGGGUAAAGCAUCCUCUAGUUUACAUGAAGAUUCGUGGAGAUGUUCCCUUUUUGUUUGACUACUUUAUGUGUUUUUUCCACGUCACACACAAUUACAGCAUGCUCAUCUAUGUGUAAUUAUAGCACGCCAGCCGGCUAUGCGCAACUACAAUAUCCCACUUCAACCAAGCGCAACUACAAUUGCAAGCACGCCAGCCGGCUAUUGCGGAAACGUAUGUCCACUGGGAGUGUGUAACUACUAACUAGAGUUACAACUGCAUGGCAACUAUAUUUACUAUAUUUCCUAAAGAGAAAAAAAUACAGUAAAUAGGGUGGAGAUAAAGAAGGAGGAAAAAUAAGUGAAAGGAAUAAAAAAAUCCUAUUAUUAAGAAACAAUAUAAUGCAGCUAGCUAGGAGCCUCCACAGUGAUUUGACUGCCUCAAUAGUCGGAUCCUCGAACCUACGAUCCAGAUCCAGCUCUAGUCGUCCCAGGCCAGAUCCUAUUGGGCGCCUUAAGUGCCGGAUUUAGGGAAAUCCCCUAACCGGUGCACACCCACCUCUCCGCCUUAGGCCAGCCCACACUCACUUUUUUUUCUAUUCUACUAAAGUUCAAAAAAGAUGCGCCCAACUAGUUUCAAACUCGAGAUUUCUAGGUAACGUACAGAGAGAGGCAACCAACAGACUACGAUAGCAAUAGUGAUGACUUUAGGCAUGGCUUUAUUCUUAGUUAAAAACGCAGUGGUUUCUCUCUUUUGUGAUGACUUUAGGCAUGGCUUUAUUCUUAGUUAAAAACGCAGUGGUUUCUCUCUUUUGUUUUUUUUUCAUAUUUGUUUUGGCAGGUUUUUCUUCUUUUUUCUCUUUCUCUUUCUUUUUUCGUUUCUUUUCUUUUUUCAAAUCAAGAAAGCUAACUUCUAGUCGACUGGAAGUUAGCGACAGAUUCACAUGAUUCUGGAGCCGCUCGAUCCGCUUCUGCUCUCGCGCGAUCCCUUCCCGAUUUCCUCACGCCCAGAAUCUUCUCCCGUGAUUUGAGGACGGUUUGAAUUAUCAUUAAGGAAAUACGUUAACUUUUUUUAAAUCAAGACUUUUCUUAAAUUCACAAACAUUUUUCAAAUUCGUGAUUUUUUUCAUUUCUGCUAAAUGCAUGAACUUUUUUCUUCAAAUUCAUGAUUUUUUAUUUAAAAUUGAUAAACUUUUCUUCAAGAUUGAUGAUCUUUUUUCAAGAUCGAUGAACUAUUUUCCAAAUUCUAUGAACUUUUUUCACAUUUGAUGAACAUUUUUUUAGAAUCAACAAACUUUUUUCAAAUUCGAUGAAGUUUUUUUUAGAUUUGAUGAACUUUUUUUAUUCGAUGAACUUUGUUUCAAAGUCAAUGAACCUUUUUCAAAUUCGAUGAACUUUACUUAGAUUGGAUGAACUUUUCACAGAAUCGAUGAACUUUUUUCAAAUCCGAUAAACUCUUUUGAAAAAGAUGGAUGGACUUUUUCCAAAUUUGAUGAACUUUUUUUAAACAUCAAUGAACUGUUUUUUAAAAUUCAUAAGCUUUUUUCAAAAUUUGAUGAUCUCUUUUUGUUUAAAAAAUCAACUUUUCCAAAUUGUUUUCAAAUAAUUCACAAAUCUAAUAAAUAGAGCGCAUAAAUUGGUUCUUAAAACUUUCACGGCCAUUGUAGUCGUGGCGCUUACAGGCUGUAGUGGUUAAGAAAAAUGUUCUUGUGUUGCGCCUUCAAGGCGCCUGCAAGGCGCGAGUUCCAGUCCUUGUAGCCACACUUUUUUGCGUGAUUUUUUCGCGAGGCGUUUUUCCUUCUACUGCACGUGGUGGGCCGGCCUAUGAGGUGCGGCGCGUGGGCGCCAGCUACCUGUUCGGGCGCUUAAGGCGCCGAACAGGAGCUCUCCAAAUUCUAAAAA
rnacentral:lncRNA from 1 species